CUCUGGGCACGACGUUCGUUCUUUCUUCGUCGAUCGUUGGCCCUUUUUAAUAUGUUAUUUGCUAUGGAUUCAGAGUUUUUCACUUUUGGGUUUUAAUUAUUAUUAACUUGGUGAUGUGUAGAAGUGGAGGGAGAGUCGAGCAAGUUGACGAUGCCGAUGAGCCCCGGAACACCAGGUACCCCAGGCACCCCAGGCACACCGGCUUCCGCUCGUGCUAAAGACAACGUUUGGAGGAGUGUGUUCCACCCAGGUAGCAACCUUGCCACCAAAUCCAUGGGCAACCAGGUUUUCGACAAGCCACAGCCCAACUCUCCCACUGUCUACGACUGGUAUGUAUACGUAGCCUAACCCUAAUAACGCACGCAUAGAACUAGUUACAAAUUUUUAAUCGAAAAAAAAGAAAAAGAACCGAUAGAUACAAAUAUGGAUACUAUAAAAAAAGAACCGAUAGAUACAAAUAUGGAUACUAUAAGUACUGUGAUUAUAUACGUAAAGUUUGUGACCAGUUCUAUUUGUGCGUAUUUCGAAUAUUAACGUAAAUAGAUCUAAGCCGUAGAUCGAGGAUCUGUUUGUUGGGUUUAGAUCUAUAUGGUUUGUUGUUGCGAUCAUGGGUUAACCUUUUAUGUGUGAUGUGAUCUCACAGGCUCUACAGUGGCGAGACCAGGAGCAUCCAUCAUCGUUAAGGUGACGAAGAAACAACUGAGCUGACCAGCAGCCAGUCACCAGGGGCUGCAUGUAAAUAGUGUAUCUGUUCAUCUCAGUGUUUGCUACGUGCCCCGAUGAGGGUUUUCUGAUGGCAAUGCGAUUAGGUAUCCUUUUGGAUUUUGUACUUAGGGCUUUCUUCCAAGAGAGCUCACUGUCUUGGAAUUAUAUGUGAGAUUGUCGUAUGAACACUUGUGCGGUGAUGAUUGUUGGGUCAGAUCUACCGUUGGAUGGUUGUGAGGAGUUGCUGUCGUGUUUUUGCUAUAAUCAAAUAAAUAAAUAUCUUCUGGAUGUUAUUAAAUGUUAUGAUGACUCAAUUAUUUGGUUUUAUCGAUCACCGGAUUGAGUCAUUCGAAUCCUUAAAAUCUAAUUUAAGGUUAAAUUUAUUAUAAUUUUUAAAGGAAGUUAUGUUUUUAAUCGGUAAUUAAAUUUCAAAGGUUCGGAUCUUUUGAUCCGAUGAUCUUAGUGGAAGAGAUCCGAUUCUGAUUUUAUCUAUCCACACGAGAUUAGAAUCCAAUGAGGAUUGAGGACGACUUUAUACGCUUAAAUACAUAAAUACGUCAUCAUGGAAGUAUUUCAAAUUAAUAGCUUAUUAUACAGAAGAUAUUAGAUAUUUUAAAUCUUUUUUAAUAUUAUAAUAUAUGGUAUAUAGUCCUCGUAUUGUUAAUAAUUUGGUCUGUCCAUGUAAAGGGACCCACAUGUCUAUGGAUAAGGAAGGAGAGAGGAUUGCAAUUGAGACGUUACGUGAGGUUGGUGAGUGGGGCCCAUUGGAAAGUGACAAAUUAUGAUACAUUAUCUUUUAUCAUAAUCAAUAAUGGAGUCACUAAUCACUAUAGUUCAUAUAGUCCAUAAUAAAAUGGAAUCAUGGAAAUGGGAGAUUCAUCUAUUUCUUUUUGGAGGUAGAUUGUCUGUCCUCCUUUUAUCAUGUUUUUUUUCAUUAUUUCCUAUUUGUGCAACCAUAGUUAAAUUACGUUAACAUGUUUUAUUAUCUUUAUAAAAAAUUAAUAUAAAAUGUUGACGUGACUUAAUUAUGAUCGCACAAUGUAGGAGAUAAAGGGAAGGGCAUGGUAAUGGGAGGGCAGACAAUCUGCCUCCAUUCUUUUUUGUUCCAAGGACAAAUUAGGUGGGGGCUAGGCUUCGUUUUGGUGCGUUGGAUUGAAUUGAAAUGUUGCUUGCAAAACAAUUUACAAAACCCGUAGAUUGUAACGUCUCGUCAGUAAGACAAUAUAAUAAUACAUUUCAUUAUUGGUGGAAUCAUCAAAAAGCUACUGUAACGUUUCUCGUCAAUAAUACAAUACUUUUUUAACACCCCGCACAUUGUAUUAUUGGUGACGUCCUGCAACGCAUGUAAAUCUCUCUCGUUGUUGAGUGAUUAGAUUGGAUUAUAUAGAAAAUGAAUUUUGAGAGGGAGGGAGCGAGUUUACUUUCAACUUUGGGAUACUGCCUGAUUGAAAAGACUAUUUUACCCAUACCUAUUAUUCAUUCUCACACUCCUCAAUUUUCGAUCAUAAGAUUGAAUAAAAUGAAGAAGAACAAACAUUUAAUAAGUGUACGCGAGAGGUAAAAAUGAGGUUAUAAAUAGCACUACCCAAUUCAUAUUAUAUAAGUACAUAAAAUAACAGUUGAGUUGGUAACAAGCUCGGAGCAUGACAUGGCGAUUUGCAUCUGCAUCCAAAUUGCUCUGUACUUGGCGGCGAGUUUCUAAAGCAGACACUCUCUUCUAUUCAACAACAUAUGCCAGCAGCUGGGUGAUCACAAUAGACAUAAAAGGAGAAGGAGAAGGAGAAGGUAGAACCACUUGUUUUCAGAUUUCUCGUCAUCGUCGGCUUCAGUUCCACUUCUUCUGAUAUGCCAAAAUCUGCAAAAAUCAUACAUACAAAUACGCACAAUAUUAAGAAAGUAAGGAAAUUUUUAAAAACUUCUAGACUCUCUUUCUUGAUGCGCAAGCCUUCGUCGCGCACAAGUUUCCGCUAGCUCUAUUGGUCGUGUGAACUUUGAAAGAAGUGCUCACUGCUCACCAGAUAGCCAGGAAUGAGAUUGUGAGUUCUAAGUUCUGCCAAAGUUUCUUCUUCUUUUAAAAGUUGCAGGUUUUCUUUGCUUGAAUCCAGAACAAGAGACUUGGAAAUUUGAAUAUUGGUGGCAGUUGAAUGACUGAAUUCGGCAUGCAGCUCUUUCACCAAGUAUAUUUCAACUUCUUCAGCUUGACACGCCGUUCGGAGAGCUACAUACUGUGUACAAAUAAAACCAGUUUCGGUAUGGUGAUGAAAUCUUCGGAGAUCCGAGAUUGUGAAAAAGCCAUCAAAUGAAAAAAAAAAUGCAACAAACAGCUGAAGGAUCACCUGACAUAGUUGUCCAACUGACAGAGUAGACCUGCAGCAAAGAUACGGCCGCUGCAAACUUGGUAUUCUUUGCUCAUCCAAAGACACAAGCAGGAGGUGGAUGUCCAACUGAAAGAAAUGAGAAAACGUUUGAUCCAACCAUCUCGGUACUGAAGCAGAUUGCCAGAUAAAAAGUCUAAAUACACAUCAUAUAUACAUAGCGUGUGUGAAGGAAUGAUCUCAAAAGGCACUGCUCACAGUCCCCUAUCACAGAAGAGUCAUGACAAGAUCGUCAGCCUAAACUCUAGAUUACCUCGUCAUCAUUAUCUCCUGGGUUUCGAAGAUACUCUACCAACUUAGAGAGACGGAUGUUCCUGGCAUUUUUACCACUGCCACCACUUGUACUGCCAUACCGUGUAUGACUCCGCAUGCCACCUUUUCCCCAGGAAAGCCUCUCUGAGCUGCCAACACGCCCCACAGAUGCACCCAGAAUCUCUGAUUUGUUCAUUUCAUAAUCAUUUUCAUCAUCACUAUCUGCAUUAGCAGCUGCCGAUGAGGGCUGAUAAUAUCGAUCUCCUCUCCAUCUUUUGGAUCUCUUCGGUCUUGGUUCUGUGCGCUCAUCACCCGAAGAUAAAUCUCUACCACAAUCAUCACCAUUUACAUCCUCAUUGUCAUUCGACCCUUGAUGUUCAGCAACAUUUCUAUAGCUCCUUCUCCCCCUCGCAUUUCGAUAGCUACCCCGUGAUCUCCUCAUAAAUGCAGCUGCUGUGGCUUUAGCUGUUGUUCGUUUCCUUCCUAGUGCCUCGGUUUGCCGUCGAAAUGUCUGGGCAAUGGAAGCUUGGAUCUGUGCAAAUAAGCUCAAAGAUCAAGGGCCCGAAGUAACAAACUAAGAACAAAAAGAAAUCUCUAUACAGUUCCACUAACUUCAUGGUGACGAGUAACACCUAAAUGAUGAAAAUGCGAUGAUUCUAGUGUAAUACCUUAUUAUGUACAAAUUGCAUUGUUUUCGGUAAUGAGACACAGAUGAGACCCACAUACAAGUAGAUAAUCAAGUCUUAACUAAAAGUUUCAAGGAAUGACUGUUCCAGGGUUUUACAAAACCAGAGAACUCAUCAAUUGCAUGAGAAAACUAGAAUAACUCGCCGUUUGUUAUUUUUCUUUAUUUAGGGUUAACUUCCAAUUAAACCAUAUACUUAUUAACCCUAAAAGAAACUUGAAACUUGAAUAGUCACCUGCUUAUUGCGAGCCUUCUCCUCUUCAUGAAAAGCCAAUUCCUACAGGAGGUAAUCAACCGUCAGUUCUCUCAGUUAUAAUUUAACUUACAAAAAACAAAAUUUACAGUUGAGAUGUUGUAAAUCAGCAUCGUAGUACCUCUUCCUCAUACUUGUCAAUAUCCGGAUAUAUAGCUGCAAUUAAGGAGUCGUAAUUUGGGUCAUCUCUCAAAGAGCGACGACUUGCACAAUGGGUGCGGCAGGCAGGGCAUUCAUUGUUCCUGCAGCGAAACCCAGUUACCAGUAUUGAGAAGUAAAGCCACAAACUCAAAUUUUCUAAUACUUUGUGACAUCCUCCAAACAAAAUCUGUAUGACAAAAAUAACUUGAACGUUCAUUUGAAUUAAAAAGGAAAAAGUAAUAGUUUGAAGACAUACCCCAGGCGCAUGGACUUGUCAAUGCAUUCCCUGCAGAAGCGAUGCAGGCAUUCCAUCACUGUCCUUGUUUUCCGAAUGAUCCCUAUAGAUACCAAUCGGUAAAUGAAUUUCUUUUCUUUUCCAAUGUACGAAUGUAAAAGGGACCAAUGAGUACUUUGCUUGAUAUAGUCUGAUGAAUUGUCUCAAUAUUUAGAAAAAUUCCAAUAUGAACAAAGAACUAUUGGAUGUGAAAAUUCUCAAUCUUUGGACAUUAAUUUCAGCCUGCAUAAUUAACAUAGAUUUAGACCGUCCAAAUGGUUUUAAGUUAUAUUGGCACAUCAAUAAGGCUGCUUGUGUUUAUCAGAGGAAGAUAUUCAAAAGAUAAUAUAAAAAUUUAAGGCUUUAAAUAUAAAGCUGAGGAUAUAAUUCUAUUUCUUCCAUUGAAUUUACCAUGACAUAGAAACUUAUGUACUUCCGUUAACAGAGUUAUGGGCCAAAAAAAAGAGAAAAUAAUAAGUUUGACAGCAUUGAUGCUUUGUUGAGCUGAGAUGACUGUCUUUCAAUUAGUAUGUAACUACCUAUGAGCUACUAUCAUGAAAAUGUGACUCUGCAUGUGAAAAGAGUAAUUCUGUUGAAGAAUGUAAUCCAUAAAUUCUAACAUCUAUAAAAAAAACCUAACAACUGCAAUUUUAGGGAAGAAGAUAUAAGUACCAACUCAGAGUCGCCACAGAAUUUGCAAAUAUAACUCUUAGAUAUUUUUUUGGAUAAAAUAUUUUACAAAUUACACAAAAAAUUUCUGUCUUUAAAUUAUAUUCUUGUAAAAAGAAACAACCACAAACUUCUGAGAAAAUAAGACAAAUAUUGAGCUCUCUACUAUACCCAACUGCAAAUUUUAUGCAGUAUAAAAACGUUAAAAACAAAAAAUUUCAUGUCUAUGUCAGCAGAGCAAACACAUUGAUAGUGGGCAUGGGAUUUCUCAUAAGGGUUUAUGGAUAAAGUUGAAACAGAAAACAGCAGAACCAAAUAUCACUAGAUUCACAACCCUGUAUUGGUAGCUGAUGUUUCGGCACUGACAAAGUGGUACAUACAAUACAUGGUUUCGGACAAGUUAAACAAAACCAAUAUUUCUGACUUGUAUGCAAGAAUUUUUUUAGACAAAGGCAUUUCAAGAUAUUCUAAUAUCAAUGCUGCAACACAACAAACGACAUAAGCAUGCGAAGCGAAUAUGAUGUUCUAGAACUGAACUAUCAACUUCCCUUUGAUAAUAGAUAAUAAACUUUACUCUAUGCUGGUACCCAACAAUAUUACCUUUUACAAAAAAAUAGAACCAGAAGAGAUCAAAAUGCUUACUUGCCAUCUUGAUUCAGUUAUAAUCCAAAAUUUAGUAUGCCAAGACAUACCUAAACAGAUGGGGCACUGGACUUCUUUCCGAAUUUCUGCCAAUUUCACUAUGACAAAUCUGUGCAUAUUACCAAUAAAAAGAAAAAUUAGCAUAGAGCGGAUGUAAUGUAUAAUAUGUCGGUUGCCCUUUGUGCAAGUUUUUAUUUUUGCACGCUUAUAAUUAUACAAAGAAUGAAAAAUGUGUGCACUCCAAUUUCUCAGAGGGAAAUACAGAACCUAGCACAAAAGAGAGAAAAAUAUGAAAGUACAGAUUUUCUGCAGAAAGAGCAUCUGUAAGCAUAGCCAACCCCACCUCGAGCCAUGAUCAGAUAAAAUAAAUCAUUGAUCAUUUUAUAAUACUGAUUUCGUCCUCAAGCAUAAAUCCAUCAUUACAUGGAACUUUUCAUACCAUUUCAUCAGCCUGGACAACACAAAUGCAUAUCGAAACUAAAACAUAAACUGCUGCAUGUUGUGGGGUUGCAUUUUGCAAGCAGCAUACAAAUGCCCAAUUCAGCAUGCAUAUUGACGUUAUUGCCAGCAUUGUUUACCAUAUCCCAAAACGAAAAUAAGAACGUUAGUUGCUUUCUUUUAUAAACAUGUCAACAAUUCUAUCUAACGAGUAAAAACUAGCAAGCUUGGCGUGGUAAAUAUUCUGUAAGUAAAACACUUCUAUGUGGAAGUUUAGCAGAACAAUGAGAACCCAGUAGAGUAAGCAGAUUGUUUGUUCCUUCAGCCAAGCACCAACAAGACUGAGAGAGUGAGAAUUUCUGCUCGAAAUGACCCAACAAUCAUCGAAAAUUUUGACAAGAAGCGAAACGAAAAUGAUCAGAAUCUGCAGCUAAUGAGCAAACCAGAUUGGGCAACAUGCUUGAACCACCCAUGCACGAUGGAAUUUGAAGCUCGAAUUCAAAAGAUCCAAAACCCAACUCCACCAACCUUCUUCCCAACACAAACACGGCAAUCCAUCCCAGAAAAACAGAAGAGAAAACCCACAUCAACCCAAAAGCCAUUGCUUUCACAGUGGCAUACACACGUCAAUCCACCCAGCUCAAACCCAGCAACCGCUCGAUUACCACAAACAAAACAAAACCCAGCACGAAGAUAAGCAUGCAGAUCCCAAAUCACACCCAGCAUUCAAACAUCAAACAGUUACACAAUAAACGGAAACGACCACCAAAAACAGAAGAACGAGAAAAGCAAUGAAGAUAAAAAGAGAGAAAAAGCUCACUCGUCUUUCUCUUCGGUGCUCUGCGACGGGCUUCGAUCGGACUCUGAGGAGCAAAAGGGAAGAGAGAGAACAGAUGAAGCAACAGCACAGAGAAUCAGAGAAAACAAAAAUCCAAAAACCAUGUGAGGGGGAAGAAACGUGCGAGUACGGUGUUUGUAUAUGCGGUGGGUUGGAAAAAUCUAGAGUUGGGUUUGGGCGUUGGGAGAAAUAAGACGUACCCUCUUCGUCUUGCGGCGUUUCGUGGCUGUUUUCGCGGUGGUUCUGCGGAGGAUCAUCUUCCAUGGCCUCAUGGGUGCGCUUCUGUGCCGGCAUUGCUCUGGUUUGCAGCGGAACUUUAGCAAGGAACGGAACCGUUGUGAGUGAGGUAAAAUUGUUAGCUGAUUGUGGUGCUCUCGGAGAGAGGAGAUAGAGAGGUAUGAAGGUGGCGGUGGUCGGCGGUAGUGGGUGGUGGAGUGUGGCUGACCAGAGAGAGGCGGAGGGGCAGAGGCUCGUGGUCUUACCGAAAAUUCUUCUAUUUAUAAAAAAUAAAAUAAAAAAUAAAAAAAUAAAAAAAGAUGGAGACAAUUCAAGCUUGGGUCUUCAGUUAACACGUGUAUAUGCAGGGGUAAUAUGGUAAAUAUAUCUUACUUUUUUGCUUUACUUUUUUGUUUUUGUUUUUGUUUUUUUAAUCUUUGGGUUUACGUUUAGUUGCUGGCAAUUCCUGGAUUUGUAGUAAAAAUAAAAUCAUAAAAAUUAAAAAUUAAAAAAAAUAAAAUUAAAAUAAAAACUCUCUAAUAGAACAAUUAUUCUUUCAUGUUACGUAUUAAUUAAUGAUCUAAAAAAUUUAACGAUUAAUUUUGCAUGCAGAAAUAUAACAAAUUUGUAUAAAGAUUAAAUUUUGCAUAAAACCUAUACCAUUUAUUGAUACUAUCGUCGGAAAUAUAGAAAGGAGAAUAUGGAUUGAUUAACUAACAUGCACCCGAAUCUUAUUUUCUCUUUAAUUUCUCCCUAUUGCCACCGACUUGUUAUUGUUAAAUUUGUUCUUACUAAACUAUCCCUAAACCGAUACAAGUCCAUUAUCAAUCUAUCAGAUUUGGAGUUUCAUGUUUUCUUAACAUUUUUGUUUUGGUUUUGAACCUUUUUCGCCAAAUACUUCAGUAAUAAUAUCUAAGUUUGAAAUUGAGAUUCGCAAUAAUUUUUUACGUUAAAGUUGAGCGCAUUGAGUAAGGUACAAUAUAAGUAUGACUAGAGACUAGCCAAAGUAACACGUUUGACAUUCAUUGGAAGAUACUGAGUUUGUCAGAGUGUUAGAUAAGUAAAUUGUGACUUAUUAUUCCAUGUUUGACGUCUCUUAUGCUUAUUUUUCAACUGAAAGCACCAUGUAUCUACAUGUAUAUUCAAGAUCUAACCAAUAAAGUAUCUAUAAGACGAUGCUUUAUUCAUCUAAUACGCCAAUACUCUCCUAAACAAUCAUACAGAGGGGAAAUUGGUAAAAGUGUCCACUUGUUUCUGUUUGAUUGAAUUCUGGUGCCCCUUGGAAAUGAAUGACUUGAUUGUGUCUGCAUGUCAUUUCAUUUGGCCUUUUAUACAAUCCAGUCAAGAUUUAAUAUACAUAAAGGGAUUUAACAAAUAGCAUGACAAUGUUGAAACUGAAAAAGAACGGUAUGCAUAGAUACAGUUUAUGCAGAUCCUAUGCUUCAAGUUUUCUUCGUAUACUCGCGCUGCAUUACUGAUGCAUAUAGUUCUGAAAAAUGGACGUUGGAUCUUAUAGUGCCACAGUUGGGCGGGAGGAACUGUACGUAUGUCCUUGCCUCUGUUGUGCAAUUUUUGUUUCCCACCCCUCCAAUAAGGGUAUCUCCAACUGAAGGUUGAUCAGAAGACUCGUUUUAGCCCUUUGGUCAUUCAAGAAAUUAAUAUUUUAAUGAACGUGCAUGGCCAAAUUUCUUACUAUCUCCAACCGAGGGCCAUGUCACAAAAAACCGUCUCCAACUGAGGACCAAAGGGCUAUAGUAUGAAAUGUGAAAAAUUGAAAUAAAAUGAGGUAAGAUAGUAUAGAUAAGUGAAAAAUAUGUGAGAAAUGGUGUAGGAAAAAAAUUAGAAAAAAAAAAAAAAAGUGGGCUGGGCAUAAAAAGCAAAAAAUGGGCUGGAACAAAAAAAAAUAAAACCUAAACCCUAAACCCUAAAGUGGGGCAAAUGGAAAAGAACAAAAAAAAUAAAAAAAAUAAAAAAAUAGGGCUAGGCAACGGGCUGGCUAAAGAUGACCAGCCGAUUGACUCUUUGCCCUUUUUUGUCUAGUGGGGUCCACAAGCCCUUGGGCCUGACCUUCGGUUGAAGACAAUUUUCGGGCUAUUUUCGGCCAUCUGGACCUUUCGGUUGGAGAUGGCCUAAUUGGCUUGUUUGUUUGCUUGAUUUAAAAAGUCCUCUUAUGCUUCAUGUCCUGAAUCCUGAUUGAGUUUAAUCACAUUAGGUUUCUCCCCAUCAACUUGUUCUGGUGUUGUCACAAAAGUUUUAAAGUGAAAGUUUCCGCUCUCAUAUCAAACGAACCAACCGGGAAAUACACAAGGAGAUUUUCCUGCGAUGCUUGAAGUUGAAACAGCAUCUGCUGUCCAUCCUGGUGGUAGUGGUGGCGCUGUCGUUAAUUCAGAGGGUCAUAUGAUCGGACUUGUUACAAGGUAUGAAGAACUAAAUUGUUGUAUGCUGGUUGUCUUUAAUUAUUUUGCUCUGUGUACGGCAUGUUUUAUAAGAAUCAUAUCCAAAGCAGUGUAGUUGGUUAACUAAAUCAACAUGACAGAUUUGCACUUUCAAUGGUAUGUGUCUUGAUCAGAAGACGCUGAAGUUUGUUAUUUCUACCAACGUGUUGCGUAUCUACGUUGUUAUUGAAGCUGCUUUCAGUGUCAUCAUCGUCCAUUCAGAUCUUAGACGUGUUCAUUUGAUUUAUAUAAGCCUGUUUAAUGAGAUAUAUUCUUGAAACAGUAAUGCAAGGCAUGGUGGAGGAACAGUUAUACCGCAUCUGAACUUCAGCAUUCCAUGUGCUGCUCUUCUGCCCAUCUUCAAGUUCUCAAAAUGUUAUUUAGUCAACUUCUUAUUUCGCACGUACUGGUCGUUUAAAUUCAUUUUCUGUGCUUGAAUUUUUGUUUUAUUGUUGGUGGCAUACCGUAUAAGAUGUGUGGUGGAACUUGGUUCUUUUUUAGCAGCCGAAGGUAAGCAAUCCUGAGAGAUCUGACUACUGCAGUUUUUGUUGCACAGACAUGCAGGAUCUUUCACUUCUCCAAGUUCUUGACCAACCAAGCCGUUGUCUUUCUUCUGUAUGGGCGUUGAUGCCACCUCUGUCUCCCAAACCCCCUCCUUUGCCGCCUCAUAUUCCACCCUCUUUACUACAAGAUAACAACAAAGAAUCAAAAGGCUCUCGUUUGAAAGAUUUGUCGCCGAAAGAAAAUAUGUGUUUGAAAAGCCAUCCCAACUUGGCAAGGCAAGAAAACUUCCUAACAAUGUUGUUCAUAGCAAGUUAUGACGUGCCAGCAUCCUGCAGAUAUCUACUGUAGUACAUCAUAUAUGCAGCAUGAAUUUGAUGCAACUUGCAGUAAAAACCGUAUGAUUUUAAUUCUACCCUAUUUUGCGUUCAAUAUUGUGGGAAUGACUUCGGCGCAUGGUAUGUGAAUGCUCUUAAACCAAUUCAUCAACGAUCCUGUGCAAUCCGUAUGAUAACUUUCUUAAUCGUCUUCUUGUUCCACCUUUCCGCUAUUCUUUUGCGGCCUUUUUUAUACAAAAAUAUAUUUACAGUAAGGAGUAAGAGAGUGAAAUAAAGUACCAACAAUGCUUUAGGAUCUGUUUGGUAUCCUAUUCGAAAAUUUUAUCAUUUCUUAAAAUAUUUCUUGAGAACAUUUCUUGAAAUCAAUUUUUUUUAAGAUUCAAAAAGAUGAUUGGUUUGCGAUUUAAAAAUUUUAAACCUUACGACUUAAACUAGACAAAGAGAUCUAAAAAGAAGGGAUCGCAAGAGAGGGAGAAAGAAGAGAGAGAGGAGGAAAUAAAGUAAGAGAUGAUUGAAGGAAAGAGAAAGAAAUGAGAGGAUCGGACGAGAUAAAGAGAAAGAAGAGUGAGAGAAAGAACCAAAAGAAUGAAGAUAACGAAUUGGAUGAGAGACGAAAAAGGUAAAAAAAAGAGGAAAGAGAAAGAAGAAAAGAGUGAGAGAUAGAUUUGGAGUGGGAGGGGAGAAAGGAGAGAAAAUAAAUGAGUGAAUUUAAGUUUAAAAACUCUAAAAACUUACUUUUUAUGUUUUUAGAGAAUAUACUAUUUUUUUUAGUUAGUCUUAAGUUCAGUUUUUGAAAAUAGUCCUACCAAACAAGUUUUUAAAAUCUAAAACUUGAAAAUUGUUUUUGAGUUUAAAAUGUUGAAUUUAAGUAAAGUACCAAACAUACCCUUAGUUUCUUGUGAAAAAUGCAUCCUUGUCAGUUGAAAAGUAUGCUAUUGGAGCCAGAAUUUUUCUUGUUAAGUGAGUCUCACGCUAUUGGAGCCUUAUGAUUGGGCUAAUAUGGCCUUGUAAAGGAGAAAUUUUUUAGUAUGCUGAAAACAUAAUUCGGUACUAAGUGUUAUAUAAUUAGUUGAAAACUAUAAAAAAAAAAAAAAAAAUUCUACCCAAACUACUACUCCGUUAGUAGUCUAAUCUUUUAUUUGUCUCACUAACCUGGCCCAGAAAAAGAAAAAACGCCUAUCAUCCCAUUUGCUCUUGGGUAUUCCAAUACCCUUUCAUGAUGUCGCGUUUGAAUCCUUGAGAAUGAAUGCAUGAUAUUUAAUGUAUUGAAUUUUGUUCUCGACAAAAAUUUCUCCUCACAAAUGCUUAAACUUCAAUUUGAGUAGAUAAAUUUUGUUGAGCUAAAAACUGUGUUUUCAGUUUUGAGGCUCGAACAUGUUAUCUUCAGGUCCUGUUUGGUACGUGGGACGGGACAGAAUGGAGUGGGAUGAGACAUUCUGUUUCAUGUUUGGUGCGCCUAAAACAGAUGGAAAGCGACGUUUCACAUGACGAAUUUUAGGUGAAUUUUUGUUCUACCUUACCCCUGGAAUGAUUCGUUCCACAUCUGUGGAACACAAAAUUAUAACAUCUCCGUCUCCUUCUUCUUCCUCCUUGUUUCCAUCCAAGGACAUUUUUUAUCCCUCUCCAUUCCCUCCCGUCCCGUCCCGUCUCAUUCCGUUUUAUCCCAUCCCGUUUGCAUACCAAUCGAUACGUCGGACAGUGGGUCUUGUGUCACAUCGCACUUACCAAAACCAAUCGCACAAUAUUUGCGAUUUUCCCAAAACAGCCCAAUAAAAUUUUGUAUGCGGCGGUCCUGACCCAGAGACUCGCCUCUCGUCUCUCGCGCCGCCGCCUCUCUGGUCUUAGCUAUUUCAACAAUCCCAGAAAUAACACAAGCCAAUUCGCACAGAGAGAAAGAGAGAGAAAUGGCGGACAGCUCCGGUUACAAGGAGUACGUUGCGGGCUUGAUCGCCGGCGUGGCCACCGUUGGAAUCGGCCAUCCCUUUGACACCGUCAAGGUAAAAUCACAUCUCUUUGAUUUUGUCAACUUUCAGUGGGUUUAAUGCUGGUGAGGUUUACUUUAAUGGGUGUUGCUUGAAAAUUUGAUAGAAUUUGGAAGUAAAAUGUGUUAAACAAUGCCAAAGUUUAGUUUUUGGAAUCUGGGUAGUUUAAAUUUUGAUCGGAAAAUGUUUGGAUUAGUAUCAUAUUAGUGGAAAGAAUCAAAAUUUAGAUGAUAUACUAAACUUGGUUUUAGUAGCAACUUACAGAGCUUAAUUUUCCUUUAGGUAUACAUUGUUGCCCUGUUUUCUUAUUAGCUUGAUAUUCUGUAAAUUUACCUUGGCCAAGCUGUAAUCUUUCGAUCCAUUCGUCGUCUUGUCACAUCUGUAGUUGAUGAUUUCAGGAUAUUGUUUACCUCUAAGAUUAUCUUUUGUGAACUGUUAAAAUGUAUGGACAAUUUCUCUUUAUGUGUCAAUUGUGCUUCCCGUUAAGGUUGUCUCUGAAUGUUGAAUUAGGUUAAGAUGCAAAAACACAACACUUCAGCACACGGGAUUACGUACAGGAAUAGUUUGCAUUGCACUGCAAGGAUACUAAGGACUGAAGGCGUAUGAUUCUGAACUUUAUCUAGCUGAAUAUCUCUAAUGUAACGAUCUAGAACCAUUUUUCUUUCGGAAAGGGUGCCAAUGUUAUAGAAUUUGAGUUUCCGCAUCAUCUUUUCCAGGAGAGCUGACUGAUAUUGGGUCCUUAACAGAUUAAAGGACUUUACAGAGGGGCGACAUCAUCUUUUGUGGGGAUGGCUUUUGAGAGUUCAGUUGUUUUCGGCAUGUAUUCCCAGAUCAAACAGUCACUGCAGGUUUCAACGAAAAUAAAGUGGACAAUCUUUGUUUAUUUUAUUUUGUAAUGAUCUGGAUAAUGGCUUCUGUUAGAUGCAUAAUAGCGAACCGGUUUAGUGACUUUAUUGAUACGACUUCUAUAAAGAUAUUGUAUAUCUGUUAUGGUUCUUAUGUGACGUUCUUCUGAAUUGCAAUGACACUUGAAGGGAAGUGCCCAAGGUGCAGGUCCACAGCCGAAGGUCAUAAUUCCAUCUGCAGCUUUUAGUGGAUCAGUCAUCAGUUUUAUAUUAUGCCCCUCGGAGCUGGUGAAGGUAUGAGGAAUUGGAUGGUUUUUAGAUUGUUCCGUUGCUUCUCACGGUAUACUUAUUGCACUGCUUUUUUCCAGUGUAGGAUGCAAAUUCAAGGCACAGACUCUGUGGUCCCAAUGUCUAGAAGAUAUGGCAAUCCUCUUGAUUGUGUCCUUACAACUGUGAAAAAUGAUGGGGUAAGAAAAUACUGUUAUUUCUGGCGACAAUGGCAAGCAUAACUUUUUAUGAUCAUUUUAGGUGAUUGAAUGCUUUUCAGGUUAGAGGAAUAUUUCGAGGAGGUUUUACGACAUUGUUAAGAGAAUGUAUUGGAAAUGCGGUCUUCUUCAGCAUUUAUGAGUAUGUCCGCUAUCACAUGCAUUUACAAUUGAAAUCUGCUUCAACUGACCACAGAAACUUGAUUGACGUGGGAGUUGGGAUUGCUAGUGGUGGCCUUGGUGGUAUAGCAGUAUGCAUCUUCACAAUUUAACGUUCUCUAGUACACAAGCUCACAUUCUUAUUCCACUAGACUUAUAAAUUCUGAUGUUCUCACCCUAUGUCCAGUUUUGGUUGGCUGUUCUACCCUUGGACGUGGCAAAAACCAUAAUUCAGACGACUCCAGAUAAGAACGCAACAAGAAAUCCAUUUCAAAUCUUGAGCUUGGUAAGGACACCCCUUUCUCUCUCUCUCUCUCUCUCUCUCUCUCUCCUCUCUCUCUCUCUCUCUCUCUCUCUCCCAAUCCCCCGGAAAAUGUUUAAAUUGGCCUUUGUUCUUUUUUCCUCUGUAGAUUUACAGAAGGGCUGGAUUGAAAGGAUGCUAUAUUGGCUUGGGUCCUACUAUUGUUCGGGCUUUUCCUGCUAAUGCAGCAGCAAUCGUCACCUGGGAGUUGGCCAUAAAACUAUUAGGCAUCAAGCGCGACUAAGCAUUUCUCUACAAUAACCAAAUGCUUCCAACCUGUUUGGCAACUUUUAAACCGCAUUCAGCAAGAGAAAAUUCUUUCACUCAGAUGAACUCCAAGGGUGUUACUAUGCAUUGUUUUCUCGAUUUAAGGAGCUCGAACAUUUUUUCUACAAGAAAAUAUCAGAGAUUGGAGUGGUUUGUUGUGAGAUUUUUUUUGUAAUGAUUGUUGAAAAGUUUGUAUCAAGGAUUUCACAUGUUUUAUUGUAAUUUCUGUCAGCUGAAAUAGAAGUUUUUCUAACAAAGCAGCCAAGAAGUUUUCGUUGGUGUUUUUCUGUUCUUGAUAUUACAAUUUUUUGAAAGAUUAGAGAGAAAGGUCUGGACAUGGCUAAUUCAUAUGGUAAAUUUGAUAGCCCUCCCCGUCCCGUCACACCCGAAAUGUGAUGAUGUAUAUAUAUAUGCUGUAAUAUGAGUGAAUGUGUUCAUAUUUGUGGCUAUAUUGGUAUCAACAAGUAAAAUACAUGCUAAACAUAAUUAGAUUGGUAAUAUUAACGAACACUGUGACGGUUCAUUUCACGUACAUGUUAUUCAUAACAUAAUAAUAAGAAAGAUCUUAGGACAAAAUACCAUGAUAAUGUAUGAUAAAAGUUAGUGACAAAUUAAAGCAUGUGAAGAAAACAAGAAUUAUCGUUACCAACUGAACAGAUCAAGUGGUAGGGUUGUUUCAAAUCACAGCCAAGAAUCAUGAAGCACAAUUUCAAGGUUCAAAAUUGUGCUAGCAAAGAAGCCAAUAUUCCUUAAUUAAUGCAUACCGGGGGGCCCGGGGGGUGGGGUGUGGGAGUUUCAGUGGUGCAUACGUAUAAUGAAGGCCGAGGGUUGACAGAAGAUAGGGAGCUUAUCGUAUGCUUAGUAGAAACUAAUAAGGGCUCGUUUGAAUGUGUUUUUAAAAUGGUUAAAAGUAAGUCAAUCUUCCUUAAUUAAUGCACACUGGGGGGGGGGAAGGCCGAGGGUUGACAGAAGAUAGGGAGCUUAUCGUAUGCUAGAUGGAAACUAAUAAGAGCUCGUUUGGAUGUGUUUUUAAAAUGGUUAAAAGUACUUUUAAAGAAAAUAUUUUUUGGUUCUAAAAGCACUUAAAAUGUUUUCUGCAAUAAGCACUAAUUAUGUACUUCUUCCAGGAAGCACUUUAAGUGCUUUUCAGAAUUUACUUGCAUUUUUACUAAGGAUUAGUUCUAAAAACAUUUUCAACAAAAGCGCUUUCAGUUAUUUAAAAAACACAUCCAAACAAGUACUAAAUUAAUUAGAAAUGCCGCCUCCAUGUCCAUGUUAUUGUAGGGAGGUCUUCCGACGCCGCUCAUUGUGUCCAGCUAAUCGCCGGCGACAACUCCUUUUACGGUCAUCAAACUCCGAUAGGCUGUGAAACCUGUCAAUGCACCACCAUUCAUUCAUUAUUCGACUCAUGACUCUAGUGUCUUUCCUACCAUGCACUUGAAUGCACUUUUUUAAAUGCACAGUCAAGUUUAUUAGGGACAUAUUGACAACUCUAAAUAAACUAUAGAGUUAAAGAAUCAACAAAAUCAACGACAAUUCGCAUUUUUCUUAAAAAGGGCAGUUAAUCAUUCUUUAGAAAAAUUUGUAUGUGUGUAUCUACAAUUUAUGUUGAUGUAGAACAAAAGGCCGAAAUGAUUGAAGAGGAAAUGGACCGUCGGAAGGCAAAAGGAUGCAAUGAGAAUUUGCAACUUUGGCGUUCGAGUUCCAAUUUAGGCCUAUGAUACAUUUUCAAAAAGGGAACGAUGCCAUGGUUCAAACAUACAAUGGAUUUUGGCCAUCCGAGAUUGUUUCAGCCUCCAAAACGUAGUUUUAAUUUAUGUUAUAAAGAUCGAACAUUUGGGUUGUCGUCCGAUUAAUGUUGAAUUAUUGUCAUUUUAAUGUCGAGAGUCCUUUGAGUUGUUUUAGGGGUUGUAACCCGUUUAUUUAAGCCUUUUGACUGUUUCAAUGUGAUUAUCAAUUAUCAAUUAAAGUCUAAACACAACUACUUUUCGACUUUCUCUCAAACUCUGAUGGACUCCAAAAUUCUUGUUUUUUGAGGGUUUACGGCUGUAUCUCUCCUGCUUCGUGCUGCGUCAUAUAUAUAUAUAAUUUCUAAGUGCAUGAAAUUAACAAAAAUUAUGUGUCUACAUGAAUAGUAAUUAGGCAACAAUUAAGAAAACCGUUUAGCUAGGCAUACUCACUAAUAUGGAAUUCUCUCCAUAAGAUAUGGCAUGAAACUGUAGGUGUGGGGUUCUUGCAAGUUUAAUUCAUACUAUAAACUUAAACUACCUGGGAACCUUUUCUUUUGAAAAAACUUUAAGGGAAAAGGUAAACCCUGCAUUUCCCAGCAAAAGAGCUCUCUGAAAGAGGGCACUUUAUUUAUUUAUUUUCUUGAUCAUUAUCACAUGAGAGAAGAACUCCAUAGAUAAAAAUGUUUGAAGGUUGUCUAAAUGUUUAAUGGAAGAGUUAUUAUUUGCAAAACUGUGGUAGUUGAAAAAACGGUUCUAAAAUUGUUACCUGCUACACUGCUGGCAAAAGCGCUGCCGGAUUCCACCCAUGAACACCGCCGGAGCCUUGGCAUGAACGUCACAGACCUUGUGGCGGCGGUAGUAUUGCUUUAAAUCACUCAAGUCAGCAUUGCAACAAUCUACCUUACAACAUGGCCCUGCUGUAGACCCUCCUGCACCAGAUCUUCUCCCUGUAGGAGGAGGAGCAGUACUAUUCAUCAUCAUCACUGUAUCUCUCCUCUCAUCCUCACCAUCCACUAUAGAUGGUGUCCCACUCCUACUUUCUUCUUCUUCCUCCUCCUCCUCUUCCUCUUCCUCGUAUUUCACCAAGAUCCUCUUUCCAUGACCUCUGCCUGAUUCCAUAUUUUUCCGACGAAAGGAGAAGCAAAGAAAUGAGAGGAGAAGGAAGAUGUUAAAUUCAAAGGAGAAGCAGGCUAAAAUGAAAACAUUGAUCAAACAGCAAAGGUGUAGAAAAAGGAAGAGAAGCGUGUGUGUGUGAGAGAGAGAGGACCACAAGUUCCAUUUGUUACUUUGUGAGCACAAAGUAUAAUAGUGAAUGGUACCUCCAAACCCUAGAAAUAUUUACUCCAAUAACACAUCAUCUACAUAUGAUUUUUACACUACAACAACAUAACACAGUUCAAACUCAUCUUCACUAAUUAAUAUCUAACCUCAAUUUUAGACUUAAUUAGUGCUCGUUUAGAGGCACUUUUCUAUAAAACCAUUUGGAUGAAGGAACACUUUUUAUGUGUUUCUCCUCCUAAAUGAUGUUGGGCGCCCUCUCAAAAUUACUUCUAGACGAACCUUUAUUAAUCACUACUUAUAUUAGGUACAGCCACGAAUUUAGUGACUAAAUUUGGGUUCGGCUAAACCAGCUAGGGGUCAGCUACAGCUAGGUUAUUUCGAAGGACACUUUUUUGUAAUUUGAGAUGGCCUGGAGGACACUGAAACGCGUUAAUGCAUGUGUGAUUAUUACGCCAUAUAAUUUUUAUAUAGAGCACAGAGCUUAUGUCUAAUCCAAUCAUGGAUCAACCUAAUCAACAACUCAAUUUUUGUAAAAAUGAAUUUGAUUUGUACAUCUGUCUAUUCGUUACAAGUUUAUGUUAGAACGAGUCUCACAUAGGUAGAAUAAAUGACUUUACAUGAGUUUAUAAGUAAGUUGGAUUACUUUUCAUGUUGCCAAUUGACUUUAUAGUAGAACCUCAAUUUUCUUCACGGUUUCAGAGCAGGUUGUCCCACGUGUGAAGUCAAACGGCCACAUGUGCUCCAUGUCACCCCAUUGUGUUGUUUACGUAUUGGGCUUGAAAAUUCGACACAUGUGAGGGGGCUUGUUAAGAAUGAGUCGCACAUUGAUGGAAUAUGGAUCUUGCGUGGGCUUAUAAGUAAAUUGAGUUACUCUCAAACUGAUUUUAUGAUGAAACCUCAAUUUUAUUCAACCUAAAACCCUAUAAAAAUUAAAGAUAUGUUAUAAUUCAUAGGGUUAGGUUUAACUAUAUGAAUAUAUACAUAUAUAGAUAUUGCCAGUCCUUUUCAUAGAGAGUGUGACGACUCCUUCAUUCACAAUGUAUUAUAAUUAUUGGAAAGUGAAGGGUGAAAGGCGAAAAAAAAACCCUAAAUGGUCCAAUGAGGUAGCAACAGUGAUUAUCAUGCUUUGACACAUAUGGUACUAUAUAUUGUCACUUAUAAAUAGGGGUUGGUCCCCAUUUGUACGAUCCAACCCAUGAGCAAGUUCAUGUGCAACAUAGAGCACCCGUGGGUUUCAAAUCGAAUCCCUUAGAUUUGGAUUAAUUAGUGUAACAUAUUCAAAUGUACUAUGACGAGAAUGGCAUAUUCUAAUUGAUUGGGUUAGACAUCACAAUGGGCGAGCUGCAAACUAGGUAUCAAAUGUAACACACAAAUAUGUGUGAGUCAAACAUGAGACCUCUUACUUACCGGUGAAGAUGAAUACCAAUAAAUUAUAGUACUAGCUAGUUGGUAGUUUUUUAUUAUGAACAUUAAACAAACAAAUAGAAGAUGAGCCUUGCACCAACAAACUAUGAUCCCUUAUUUUAAUUGCCAAAUGAGGCAACGCAUAACUUAACAGUUGCUUAUCGAUUAAGAAAAUUUGGUUCAAUUGAGUUCAAAUACAAGAUGGGUAUAGCGUGUGAAAUAAAAUUUUAUUUUUUUUGUCAAACGAUAGAUUUUAUUAGAUUAGAUGUUAGAUUAGCCACCAACGAAGUUUGAACCCACAUCAUCAUGUAAGGAUUCCACAUCUUUUCACCACUGUGAUAAAGGGGCACUUACCGUGUGAAAUAAAAUUAGUGAACUUAAUAAAUGUAGACCUAAAUAAUUGAGUUUGAUAGAGAAUUUAGUGGUGGAGGAAAAGCCCUUAGAAGAAAGGGGACGGACAAACUCACAGCAUGAAUGCACCAUGAUUCACACAUCCCAUCACAGCUUUUUUCCCUGAAUUUUAUUUUUUCUUGUUUUUGGACUCGUCUAUAGCAUAGCAUGGCAUGAGAAACUGAGAAUGACUUCUCUGUCUGUGGCUCUCGGUACAUCGUGUGACAUUUCGAACAAACAAUACAAUCUUGUGCAUUUUUGCAUUAACACAUGAUAUUGCAUUGUUAAUGUCAAUGACAUGAUGUUGUAUUGGAAUACAUGUAAGUUUCUCUCCAAAGUUUAGAUCCGGCAUUUAUGACGGCCAAAUUCAACCCUAAUUUGGACACAACUAGCCCACUAGGCCCAAGAAGCUUAACUUAAUUACAAUCUUGGAUCUAGAUCCUUGACCCAUUUUUGUUUGGGCUGCAAUUUUAGCCCAUUUUUGUUUGGUUUACAAUCUUACAUGUAGUCCAACCAAAUGGUGGCCGAAGUCAUUGAGCCCUUCUUACUAGGCAAAAGUUGCUCGACAUUGAAGCCAGUAGUUAUUGAGCCCUUAAUAUACUGGGAAAUAUUUGUUUAACAAUGGGCCCAAAUUAUCAUAUAUUUUCAUGCAUAGUACAAGUGCAUGCGAGAUGUUGCGGGUGUUUAAAAUGUUUUUAAUAUAUAUACAUACAGAAGAGGUUAUAGAAGCUGGAUUUAUAUACAUAAGUUCAGAGUUAUCAACAAGAUUGGCAAUAGUAAAUCAGUUCAUUUUGAGUUUUAAUUUAGAUUGAAUUUGCAUCUACUUAGAGGUCGAGGACCACACAAUGUGGACUACACUAGUAGAGUAACCACUAAUUACAAGGCUUGAUUAUUGGCUUUUUCUUUGAGUGAUUGGGGGUUAAGUAAUGAUAAUAUUGUUUGACUUGACCAUAUACAAAAAUGAUCAUAUAGCUUAAUAGUAAUACUAUAACUACCAACACAUACAAAUAUAUUAUAUAAGUAAUGAUAAUAUUGUGUUCUUAACCAACUCAGCUAUAAACUUCUUUCUAAGAAAGAGUUUGCAGUAAAUAGUUGUUUAGUUGUCAUAUUAAUCAUUUUAGCUUUUUCUUUUAGCUAAUUUUUUUUUUUAGUACAAACAAUAUUCUACACUUACAUGAGUGUUUGAAUUCGAAAUAGAGUGAGUUGGAGAGGCAAACCUUAAAUUACCACUUACCCAUAACUUCUGGUUUUAUUAUUCAAUUUACUUAAUGUUAAAAAAAAAUUAUAGCAUUUCAUACCGAACAAAGGAUGAUUCUCUUAAUAUUUGACGGAAAUAUAUACCCGACCAAAUGUCCAACCUUUUCAUGUCACGAAGGUUGAAGAGAGGGUUUAAUCACACCUAAUGCCAAUGUUUGGCAUAAUUACCUCUCUCUCAUCAUAAUUACUUCUUAUCACCAUGCAAUGCAUAUCCACUAAUCACAUUCCACAACAUAUUAGUUAAAUAUGAUAAAUGCCAAUUAAUCAGGAGAAAAUGAGGGAAGGUUUGGGGUGAGACACCUUGAAGUGGAAUAGUACCACCCUCACUCUCAUAAUCACCUGUCACAAAUCAUUUGCCCAUUCCGAACAAAGUCAAGCCACAUACAUGUGGUUGUGGGGAGUUGGCCAUGAAAAUGAACCAUGUGCAUAAUGUAAUAAUCGUCGAUGCAAAUUUCCGCCGUUUUCAGUCUUGAUGAAAAUGCACCUGCAAAACAAUCAACACAUUUGAUCAAAGACCUAAGCCUCACGCGCCCACGAGGUGGGGGGGUAGGUCAACGGAUCUCCGGUGCCUAAAUUAGUUUAUCUGAGAGAGUAAAGUGUUUAGGGUUUUUUUAGGGGUGCAAAAAUCUCUCCAAAAUUGGUAGAAUAUGGUGUAUUUAUAGAGCUAGGGCUUGCCAUAUGGGUUUAAUGGAGAAAUAUUCUCUAAUUAUUCUCAAGAUAUUAAAUAGGAAAUAAUAUCUUGAGAUAAUAGGGUAAUUAUCCUAAUUGAAUUAAAUUAUGAUUACUUACUUGAUUGGAGUCAAUCUUCACAUGAGAAUGUAUUAAAGGUAGGGUAAUAAAUCCUUGUAUUUUAUUCCUUGCCAAUGGCAGGUGAGUUGUAGGCAAUUGUGUUCAGCUGCUGAGUCAUCCAAGGAUGUGAGAUGCGCGAGGGAGCAUCUAAGAAACAUGCUCAUUUAUUGAGGGCAAUCUUGUCUUUUUUGAAUAAAAGUCCACGUAUCGCCUCUAGAAUUUUUGGGAUUAUUUUUUGCUCCACAAUAAUGAUGGUGAAAGGUAGGUUAAAUAACCCAUAGACUUUCAAUCUAGCCGUAUUUCUCUUUUUAAUUUUGUAAAAGAUUUCAAGUUCGAACAACAUAUAUGUUCCAUUAAUAUAUAUGAUUAACCAGCACUAAGGUCCAAUUGACGAAGAGGUUUAUAUUAUUACAGUUAAUAAGAUUAACCUAAAAAUAAAUGUUUUUCAUUUGUUAAUGGACAAAAGAAUUCAAGAUCGACCAACGUAAUCAUAUCAAUGUAAGAUUACCAAACCAUACAUAUAAUUAUGAAGGCAUGAUAAUUUAUGAUUUACAAAUCCCUCGAUGAUCAUUAAUUAUUGUGCAUGCUCCUCUCUCUCUCUCUCUCUCUCUCUCUCUCUCUCUCUCUCUCUCUCUAUAUGUAUAUAUAUAAAAGAUGAAGAGCAUGAUCUGUUGACAGCUUGUUACAUAGAAUGAGUGAUUGACGGUUCUCACUACCAUUAUGCUCUUAAUUAACAAUUUUUUAUCCAACAUUAAUACUAAAGUAUAAUCAUCAACUAAAUUAUAUUUCUCUACAUAUGCAUCCGGAUUCAUGUUCGAUCACCAUCAAUUCUCCUUCCUCAUAACAUUUAACAAUUUAACCAAAUCUCCCUCCCUCAUAAUAUUUAACAAUUUAACCAACUAAUACUAUUCUUUGUAAUAAUAAUAUAAAAAAAAAACUAAAUUACAUUUUCACAAAGUGGAAGAAACCUCCAUCAACAUCGCUGCCCUAAUCCAUGUCUAUUAAUACAUCGUUGGAUUUGAUCAGUCUACCAAUAUACGUGAAACAAGUGGACUCUCUCUCUCUCUCUCAUGAAUAGAUUAGCAAUUAAAUCAAAUAGUGUCAGGGCACACCCAAUUUGAUUAUUGUCCUUAUUAAUCCCCAACAUUCUGAAGGCCCCACGGGACCGGCGGCACUUGAAACUUCUAGAUAUAUAGCAAUUAGUCCUUCCAGCCCAGCUUAAUCCUAAACAAUAUAAUUAUAACAUUAUAAUAAUGGUAUUAGACUCUCUAAUCCUCUUCAUUCUUGUGAGCUGUAUACCAUUUUUAAUGGUUAAAUAUUCUAAUGAGCAUCCGUGAGUUAGAUUAAUUCAUUAAAGCAAAGUAUAUAUAUCCCCUUUUCUCAAAUUUGAAUGUAUCAUAAAUAUUAGAGUAUAGAAUAUCCCUUUACGCUUAAGUUUGAAUUUCCUCGUCAAACUUCCAUUUUAAUAAUAAUAUAAAUUAAUGCCACACAUUGAAGCAAAAAUAAUUAAGGUGAUGUGAAGUACAAUGGUUUUGAUCAAAUCCACAGACUGAUGCUUAAAAUCGAGCUGAAUGGGAUUAUAUGCUUGAAACCAACGUCUUAAUUGGAACUAAUACCUUUUAAAUCCCAGAAUCACUUUAUUAGGCAGCAUAGUACGUAAGUUGACUACUGCAUCUUUAGAAUCACAUGUUGCUUGAGUUGAUUACUAAUUAAGUUUGGCAUUCAUCUAUUUUAUCAGUUAGUGGAAAUGGGAUUAUGAUGUGAUUAGGUCAUCGAUCUCCCAUCAGAAUAUGCCCUAGCUAGCCCUACCUGGGUCGUCGGUCAUCAUCUUGUGUUUUUGUAGUUGUUCCACGCGAGUCCAUGUCUAUGGAGAUGACCUAAUCUUCUGACUUCUGUGUAAAACAGUGGCCUCUUUGUCAUUGAAUCACACAUUAAUAUCAGUACAGCUGCAGGUACAUGAUGGAUAUAUCUGCAGUCGCCAAAUGGAAUAUGUAGUUCUAGAAAAACUCCAUUAGCAUUCUUCCUUCCGCAUCAUUAUCUGGAUGUAUAGAUUCUAUGUAUGGUAUAUUUCAAGAUCAAAGAUUAAAUUCCAAAAGUAGGCCAUUGAUUCGAUCCAGCACCCCUUUCCGUAUUCGGACAACAAAAAUCGAAGCAACCAGUCAAAUUAAUAAGUCUAGAAUCAUACGGAAAAUAGAAAGAAAAUAUACAUACAUACAUACAUACAUAUAUAUAUAUAUAUAUUUUGGGUUAUAAGUCGAGAUAGCUAUCUAUCAUAGCUUGACAUAUGUUCUUAUGCAUUCUCUAAUAAGCUUUUUAGCUGAAUUUAAUGGUUGUCUAAUAUGAUAUUAGAAUCUGUUUCAAAAAAUUCCGACUCUUGAAACCCUAAUAUAUACCAUCUCUUUCAUAAUUAAGUUUUUGAGGCAUAGCCUCAAUCGAAAUGGGUGCUCAUAUAAAUGGUUUAAUAAAUUAACUAAAUAGAGAGAAAAUCCAAUGCAAGACGAUGGAAAUGGAGAGUGAGACCUUUGGCUGUCGAGUUGCAAAAUUGUAUGGGGUGCAAUGGUGGUCAGCCUGUGAUAAAUAUAGUUGGCUUGGAUUUGAUGCUCAGCUGGUCCCCGUAAUCUCUCUCUCUCUCUCUCUCUCUCUCUCUCUCUCUCUCUCAACUGAAACAGAAACAGGAGGCUUCUUUCUCUCUAACGCUUUAACCAGGGCCGGUCCUGAGAAUUUGGAGGCCCUAGGCGAGCCUUUGAAGUGGGACCCUAAAAUUCUCUGAUCUCCGAUUCUUUGUAUAUUGAUUUGUAUAAAAAAAAAUUUCUAAAUAUAUAAAAAGUUAUAUUUUCAUAUCAAAUAUCAUUAAAAAUUAAUAUCAAAAGAAGAUAAAUAUACAAACAUUAUUUAAACAUUACACGAUUAACGUUUUUAUACAUAAAUGUACUAAAUGUUUGCAGUCAAGAGUUUAAGAUUGAGAAUGAAGAAUAAUAAAACUUGAUGAUCAAGAGAGUAAAUAACAAUAAAACUUGAUUGACAAGUAUAAUAAAUUCAACGCCAAUUGUUUCUCUUGUGUUUUUUUUUCUUCUAAAAUCAACAUCACACUAACGAAUUGAAUAUUAAAAUUAUCCAUUGAAUAAAAAGUUAUUGAAAAGAAAAAUAUAUAAUUCAAAGUUUUGAUUACCUUAAAGUACAAUCUUUAAGACCAUAUGAUAGUUGGUUUAAACAUUCAAAAGAAAUGAAGAGAAUGUGAAGUUGGUUUAAACAUUUGAUAGAAAUGGAGGGAAUGAGAAGUUAAAAGAAAAAAAGAUUGCAAAGAGACUUGGGUUUUAUAACUUUAUAUGCAUUUGGACAGAUGAAUUGAGAGUUGGACAGAUGAAUUGGCUUCAUGUUUUGAACUCAACAUCCCAAAGAAAAAUAAAGCCAACAUUUCCAUUGCAGUAACAAAUGAAUUAUGAUAUUUCUUACUUAUUUUUUUGUAUUUAUAUGUUAAUUACAAGAUAUAAAUUUUUUUGAGACCCUUCUGAAGUGGGGUCCUAAACGGGCGCCUACUUGGGCUACAGGGCCCGGCCCUGGCUUUAACGUGCGUGUUGGGUUUCUUUCAUGUUCUUUCAAAUUGGAAUCUCUUGUGUUGUCCGAUGGUGGUGGGGGUGUGGCCUGCUGGGUGUGGUCAUUGCCUCAUUACUGGUCUGUGACAAUUGGUGUGGGUAAGUAGGACCCAGCCUGAUCACCUCCACGUCUAUCCCUACUUUGACUACUAAAACCAGUCUCCAUUCCUGUCAUCUUGCUUUCCCUCACACUCACAACUGCAUAUUUCUUUUGUUUACUGUGUAUCACUUUUACAUGUAAGAAAUCAUGGAAAUAAAAUUUAUACACAUUGUUGUAGGAGAUAAAUUUGGUUAGAUAGGGUUAGUUAAGUAGCGCAACUUACCGGAAAAUAUCAAAAUGGAGUUAUAAACUUAUAACUAGUGGCGGAGACAAAUGUGGUCAUUAGUUAGCUACUUAUGACUCUCAUAGCUUGAUAAACUUAAUGUAUAUUUAUCUGUGUAUUUGUCUAUGAUACUUUUACAUAAUUGCGGCAAACUAAAAGAAUGAAUAAAAAAAACAUUGAAUUACAAGGUGUUGCUUCUUUUGUGCAACAUUGAAUUACAAGCUGUUACUUCUUUUGUGCAACUCCAUGUAUAAUUAUUUGUAGAUGUGUUCGAUAAAAAGCCUCACUCGAUUGGCCUCGACAAAAAUCAAUAGAAUGCGGCAUAACUUGAUGGAUAUUCACCAGAAGCUCGAUCGACAAAAUGAUCCCAUGAAGUUUUUUUACCAAAAUUAUGACCCAAUUAUUAUAACAUUCUAACUCCGCCACUAGAGUUAACUAAUAUCAAAUACAAAUUGUCCUACAAUUUUAUGAAAAGUGUCAUAAGAAUGACGUGGUAGGAUACUCUUACUCGAGUUUUACAAGAAACAAUUUCUUAUAUAAAUAUAUAUAUAUAUAAGUAUCCAAGUAUACCAUUACUAUAAAUAUAUUAGAGAGUAUUCAUAUUGAUUUACAAUUGACCACCAAUAUAUCCAUAUGGGUGCCCACCAGGACUAUGAUCAGUGGACCUCCAGUAUAGUCCAAUUGUCCAUGAGGUACAGCUACCAGCAUCAUCGUCAUAAUUCAAACCGAAAAAACUAUUAACAAACACAAACCAAAGUAGAUUAAAGAUGAUAUCCAUGUUUUGGAUAACAAUUGUCCAUGAGGUGGGUGGCUUCAAUUUUGGUUAACAUAUAGUAAAUUGGGUGUUGCAAUUAAAUUAACCAAGUUGUAGUUGUAGGAUCUAAAUCACCCUAACAUGCUUAGAGUAUAGUAUAGAUUUGUUUUCCCGCAGUAGCUACUUUAAUUAUCUGUAGUCAAAUAGUCUUACACCUGCUGAUAGAAUAUACAUGAUCUCAAUCUAGUAAAGAGCAGCAACAUGCAUGAUAGUAAUAUUUUAAUGAGAGCCCUAUUUUAAUUUCCAAUUAAAGGUGUAAUCAAGUAGAGUAACAGUACAACAGAGAGAGAGAGAGAGAGAGAGAGAGAGAGAGAGAGAGAGAGAGAGAGAGAGAUGGAAGUGGUCACUGGGGGAAGGAAGAAUAAUGAUGGGUUGUAGCGAAGGAGGAGAAGAUCCCUUGGGAGACUACAAAAUCCAUUUGUUCCCUCCUCGAACGCCUUUUUCUUUUCCGGAGCCGAUGAGCUGCCCUCCACAUGCAAUUCACUUCUGUUUCUCUGCGGCUCCCUAUUUUUUUUUUCUUUUUUGAUAGAAACUGCAGCUCUCUAUAUGCUAGCUUUGGUUUGAUUUCCACAGUUUCAUCUCUCUCUUUCUCUUCCCUUGUGAAACCAUUAACGGUUUUUCUUUGCUUUUUUUAUUUCUAUUUUUAUUUUUCUCAGUAAUAUUUUGCCAAAUUGAGAGAGAGAGAGAGAGAGAGAGAGAGAGAGAGAGAGAGAGAGAGAGAGAGAGAUGAGGAGGAGGAACAAGAACUGCAACAGCAAAGCAAGAGCCCUCGAGAAUAAAGCGUGGUGGUCUUUCCUCUGUGUGUUUCAGUAGUCUCUGGGAUGUAGACCACCACAUUGUGCCCUCUUGUCUCUUUCUUUUUGGAGUUUUCACCAAUUCCUAUUUCAAAUGAAUACUUCCCUCCUAUAUAUAUAUAUAUAUAUAUCAAUUCCUAUUUCAAAUGAAUACUUCCCUCCUAUAUAUAUAUAUAUAUGUUGUGCUUAUUAAUUAUAAAGUAAAUGUUAUUGACACUCUAAAAAUCUCAUUCUACACUUCUCAUAAAUGUAUUUUUCUUUCUAAAUAUAUAAAAUUUGGAGUAUAGAUUGAGAAUUUUAGAAUGCCAAUAACAAUUCCCAAUUAUAAUCCUCCUUUCUAUUGCAUAUAAUAUCCUACCCUACCUACCAUUAGUUCAACACAUGCCUCCACAAUUUAGAGUUGUUAGACUGUAUAUAUGGUCAACUGAUUAUGUUGAAUUUUACAGUGCAAUUUACGGAUUCAUGAAUAUAGUUAUAGUCAACAAUUAUUCAUGAAAAAAACCUAUAAACUGAAAAAAAAAUGCAAUUAAUAUAAAGUACAAGUACCACUUGCCACUUUCUAUAACAAGAUCAUUAACAUAUUUAAAGAGAAAUCAUUUUCCACAAUAUAUAUGAUGUCCCACCAAAUUAACAGUUACACAAUUCAGUUUGGAUUAUUAUUAGAGGGUGGUCCUAUGCACACACUUUACUUCUUACAUACAUUCUUAAUUUUCAGCUGUUUAAUUGAAUGAAUUAAAGAAGAUCAAUAGACAAAAAUAACAAGGGUGUGUGGGAGGUAAAAAUAUUGUGUGAAUAACACUACCCUUAUUGCAUGUGGUCCAAUAUCCUAGUAAAUGAGGUGUUGGGUUGCUACCCAUACGUCCCGGAUUCAAAACUUCUCAUUUCCCUAAAUUAUUGUAAUAGUAUCGAACUCUCUAAACUCUUCCCCUUCCUCCUAAAUAAUAGCACUCCCCUUAUUAGAUUACAUUGUUGUCGAAAUGGGGAUAAGUAACAUGUUGAUACAUGGGAGUUGAGGGCCAUACAUGUAGUAUAGCGUACAAUUAAUUUCAUUAAAUAAACAAAGUAAAAGAAAAAGAGGAAGUGGGAUUUGCUGCGAAGACUGCAUCGAAUAUUGGGGCUCUAGGGAUUCCCUCAACUCUUAUCUAGUUUGCUUGCUGCUAUCUCUAUGCAAAUUAAAGGAAUGUAUGUUGUUAAUCAUAGGAAUGUGUUAUUUAAAUUUGAUUAGCUUCAACUCCUUAAUUAGUAAAAUUCUCUCCUUCUUGAACCUCCCAAAGAUUCAUCUCUAAUGUCACAUUACCUUCCUGUCCGCUUCUCGGAUUUCGAAUGUCCUCAAUAUUCUUUCCCAUUUUUUAAUUCCAAUUAUAAUAAUCAAAACCGAUUUUACACCACAACCAUCACGUGAAAUUAGAUUCCAAGUAAUUAACCCUUAACUAAUUGCAAUUUUUAAACUAAUUCUCAUCUAAUAUUAAUCAGACAACACAUUCAUUCCCUCUCGAUCUCCUCUCUCUCUCUCUCUCUCUCUCUCUCUCUCUCUCUCUCUCAUAGUCAUAAUAUUUCAACUCCAUCAAGAAAGACUCACGUCGCCACCUGCUCUUUGUCCGCAUACUCUUUGUUUCAACGAUUCCCUUCUCAAAGAGAAAAACAUGUUGAGCAACUGUGAUCAUGAGAAGAUGGCUCUACUCAUCUCUUCAACUACUAACGAAUGGCCACAGGUUCCCUUCUCUCUCUCUCUCUCUCUGUCUCUCUCUCUAGAUUUCAAUUAUUAGGCAAACCAUGACACAACUUUUGUUGCUUAGCUCUUGGAACAGAAUAUUUCUCCUGUGUAGUUAUUUUUAACCUAGUACCACCGUCUUAACCCUCUUUCUUUCUUUCCCUUCCUUCCCUUUCGAUAUUUGUAGUUGCAGCAGGACAUUCAAAUCGAUGAUAUUCAUCAUCAAAAGGGCUUGAAUAACAACAACAAUAACGUUAGGUCUUCAUCCACGUCUUCGCCGGCGAAUCGGGUAAUGGAGAAACCAGGUCAAGAACAACUCCAGCUCCAACAGCAAGCCCUAAAGUGCCCUCGCUGCGAUUCGUCAAACACCAAGUUCUGUUACUACAACAACUACAGCUUGUCCCAGCCGAGGCACUUUUGCAAGGCCUGCAAGCGCUACUGGACCCGAGGUGGGACCCUCCGCAACGUUCCGGUCGGUGGAGGUUGCCGAAAGAACAAGCGCGUAAAGAGGCCCGGCUCAACAUCCUCAACAUCGUCAGCCAUGGAUGGAGGAGCUACUUCUUCUUCCUCUUCAGUUCCUAGCACUACUGCUGCUGCUAAUAAUAAUUCAAACCCUAAUUCACAACCAUCCCACAUCGAUCAAAUCAAUCCGCUGUUUUAUGGGUUGUCUAGUAACCCUUUUAUGGAUACUGCUUCAGGGUUUGAUCUUCAUCAGUUGAAUCAUCAGGCUCAGCUGGGAUUAGGGUUUUCAUCAUCGUCAGGUACUAAUAUGAUGUCCAGUGAUAAUUAUCGAAACCGGUUUAAUCCUGCUUCGAGUUCAUCACUUCCUUCCAAUUAUAGUUCCAUGUUUAGUGCUUCCCCAUCCACCACAGUUCCAACUAUGGCUUCUGUGCUUGCUUCUAAAUUCAUUAAUGGCGGUGCUUUCAAAGAUAUUCAAGCUAGAGGGCCUCAUCAGCAAAACCAGUACUUCCAGUCCUUACUACCCUUCGAAGAUCUUCAAAUAGCGGCAGGAAACAACGGCGAGGUUGGUGGUGCCGCGAAAGACGUGAAAGUAGAAGAUCAUAAUGGCCAAAACAGGUUACAGUGGAAUAAUAACAAUGGUAGCAGUAAUGUGAAUGGUAAUAUGAAUUGCCAGAAUCAGAUCUCGGAGCAAAUGGGGCUAUCAGAUCCUACUCCUUACUGGAACUCAUCGACUCUCGGUUCUAAUUGGCAUGAUCCAGCAAAUCUUGGGUCCUCGGUCUCUUCACUGAUCUAGCAAAAACCCAACUUCAUCCUCAACCUUAUUUUUCGAUCUCAAAUCUUCCUUUUACCUUAAUUAGAGUAAUUUUUAGGGUUUUUUUUAGUUGGUUGGUUAUUGGUUUUUAGUGAAUUGGAGUGUGGUUUUAGAAAAGUUAAAGGAAAAAAAAAACAAAAAAACUCGAAAAACAAAAAAUUGGAAAAAGAAAGUUCAUGGGUACAGUAUUGGAAAGAAGAUGGCAGGAGCUGGGAUCGGAGUGAUCAUGUCAGCAGCAAUAAGAGAAUCAGCCUCUUGAUAAGUUUUAUUAAUCAAGGGUUGACAAUGCCCCCUAAUUUGCGCUGAGAGGAACCUCGGAUCUUCUUCGUCUCACUGCCUCGAGUACUAUCAACGAUCGUUAUGAUCAUAAUCGUAAUCAUCAUCUUCUACACAGAGCUGAAGUCUCCCCCUCCUUUGGUGCAAACAGCUUCCUCUCUAGUUCAGUAAGUUGGUGUGUUUAUUUGGUGUAUGUAUAUAUCUGCAUGACAAUGUUUCCUAAUUCCCAUAUGUGUUGGUUAUAAUUAGCUAGGUUGGGGUUGGUGGGUUUACUAUCUAUGAUCAGAAGAACUGAUUUUUUUUAUUCUUAUUUUGUUCUUGGGGAGGGGAAAAAAGGGGGUAACUUGGUAUAAUGGUAUACAAGAGAUGGGAGACGAUUGUUGUUGCAGUGUGGGUAAUAUAUAUGUUUGGUUUUUCAUUUACAUGAUGUACGUUUCAACUUAAUUUGUACUUUGUAGUUGACGAUAUUGUUCAGGAGCAUCAUUAACUGGUUUUAAAUUUGAGUAUGUUUUUAGAAGAAUGCUGAUAUUUUCAAACCAUUCACAUUAAAAGCUGAACAUAUACAGUAUGACAUGAUACUGUCUGUACAUGAUGUUUCACGAAGCUACGUACUAAGGUUAGCUGUACAGAGUAUGGGGUGGGUAAAAACGCCUAAUUGUGGCCAAUAACCUCAUUAGCUAUUGAUAUGCCCUUUAACUCAUGCAAUUAGCUACUAACACGCAUUUUCCUGACUCGUAACAACUAAUGUCAGUAGCCAGCUAUUGUCAGUUGUUGCGUGAAGUGAACAUGCAUUUAGGCUACCAUUGAGAUUGAGUGAGGUGUUUGUGGAAACUAAUGUAAACCUCAAGAAUAGUAGAUGGUUCGAGCCAAAGCCACAGUUUUCAUAUCUUGAAAUUAUUCUAUGGGAGACAACAAAUAUAUGGAUUUGAAGGUACGUGAGAUUUAUGCCCUUGGACAAUAGUAUGCUGGCUGUAGGGAACUGUUUAUUCUCCCAAUUUAUAGUACUACUAGCUUGGGGAGAGGGAGGGAGAGAGAGAGAGAGAGAGAGAGAGAGAGAGAGAGAGAGAGAGAGAGAGAGAGAGAGAGAGAGAGAGAGAGAGAGAGAGAGAGAGAGAUGGUGGUGGAGAUUCAUUAUGCACGUACGUGAUGAAGGUUUCACAUGGGAAUAACUAAGACAAGGUGAAUGAAUUAAUGUAUUUAUUGAAACGGACAAGCCAUAGGAUAUCUACCUAUGAGAUAUCAGUGGAGAUUCUUUGACUUAUGCGUGCAUGUAUAUGCAGAUUUAGAUGAUUAACUUAGUUUGAAAAUACGUUUAUAAGGACUUGUUACCUUGUAAAUUUUUGUUAAACUAGCUAGCUAAUCAUCUGAUGAAAUUAUGUUGUUGUCACAGUAAUAAUAUUCAGUAUAUAGAUAUGAUAUUCUAGACUUAGUGGUAGACAACUGGUAGCGCACUCCUUCAAAAGCUGCCAAUUCAUGAUCUAUCCUUGCCAGCUCUCCCCUUGAUAAUAUGAAUUCAAAAUCUGGUGAGAGCGAAAUUCAGAUGGAAAACAGACUUGCUAAUUUCUUAUUUUAUGCGGGCAUACAAUAAAAUGUCUAAGGGGAAUUUGGAAAAUUAGCUUUUUUAAGAUUCAGAUAUAUCCAGUUGAGUCCCCUCCAACAAUGUGAAACUUUCAAGUGGUUAAAAGAAUUUACUAAAACUCUUUAACAUAUUCCACAUUUGGCUACUUCGCAAAUUUUCUCUGAGUUCUAGGUUUUUGGCUUAGGUUUUUUGGAAUUUGAGUGACAUUACAUAAUUCAUGCGUAGGAUGAAAUUCGGCCUUGUCUCACAUUUAUAUAUACGUGCAUUCGUUUUUGGGACAAUAUAUACUCUCCGUUCUUUUAAUUGGGUCCUUUUUGCAAGGGUUUGUGGGUUUAGAAUUGGCAAAUUAGUAGCAAGAAAACUAGAUUAAUUAAUAUGAGCGUGUUUUUCCUAAUGAAGAUAGGAUUUUAUGAAAUAAGGUAAUAUAUUGUGGUUUUCUGUGGUGGUAGUGCUGCUGGUCCCAAUUUAUAUUGGCUGAUCCGCAAGUACUGAUCACGAUCUAAACUUGCCUCCAAGAUGGAACUUGGAAGCCUUCAUUAUGAUAUCCAUGCCAUGUACAUGUACUGAAAAGUAACUAGGCAAGUGACGAUGCCAACAUAUGCUUGGUGGUCCUGAGUUUGUAUAUUGCAUGCAUGCAUGUUUACAUGUUGUCUGGAUUGAACAUCGUUUGGUGAUGAGAGCAUGUGCCUUAUAUCGAUGAUCUAAUAUAUCAAUAUAUCAAAGAACAACCGUGUGAUAUGAUUUCAAUGAUGUGAUGAUUGUAGCCUCAUUGCAUAUUUAAAUUUAUAACAUUAUGAAGAAAUAAGACCAUGGUUGUGGAGCACAAAGCCAUACUACAUUCAAUAAUUUCUUUAAUAAUUUAACAAUAUAACAUGUCAGACUAUCUUGUAGAAAAACAAAACAUUUAGACGAUUGAUUUGUGUUACCAUAUCAACAUGUAUAAUGUAGUACCAACGUUUUAUUGCAGAUUACGAGGUCAGAUUAUACAUCAAAAUUAGUUCUAGGUCGAUAUUGGUAGGGCAAUAAAGGGAAGAAACCAAAAUGACAUAGAAACCUGUUUUGUAUCUUUUAUAAGGGGUAACUUGUCCAGAAAUUCAAAACACAAUUAGAUUUUAGGGAGUUCAGUAAUUAAGAAAGGGAGUGUACUAGGCAGCAUGUUGUAAAUUAACCUGGACAGGGAUCAAAUUCUGCUGAAAGCUGAUCCUCUAGGGCUGAAAUUUGUGUCGUUGAAAUUAGGGUUCCAAGCUGCAUGUGAUGGUGUCUACAGUUUACUUUUGUAAGAAAUUACUAAGGCAUGUCAUUGACAGACCUCUGCAAUUGCAACCUCUACAGAAGUGGGGUCCUAGAUGCCAAAUUAGUCCGGUGGGCUUGGUUUCAGGUUCAGUCUCUAUUAUUGUCUACUUGUCUAUCCCUAAGAAAUCCAAUUUUUGGGGGGAUGCAGGCCCCCCUCAAUUGACAAAGAUGAUCAGCUUCUUAACACAUGCUGGUUCGCCUAGCUCCUGCCUCUCAUUCCUGCAUUUAAUUUAGUUCUGGUUUUUCAUACAAGCUAGCGAUAUCGGAACAUGGUCGCAUCGGCAUCGUGGUAUGGUAAUUAAAGAGAUAAAUCGAACCAUAACCUUGACUUAGAAUUCAUUAGCAAUCCAAAAUUAACAAAAAAAAAAAAAUUAAAACAUUUCAAAAAGUAUUUAUUGAACGAUAAUAUAGGAUAUAACAACCUAAGCACCAGGAUGUUUUUUUUUAAUAGAGUAAUGCUAGGUAGACCAACUUUUUAAACUCAUUUACAAAUCAUGUGAUAUAUCACCAAUUGAAAAUAAUAUUGUUAACACUUAAUCCAAUCAUCAACAACCACGUCAUGUAAUUUAUAAAAUAUGAUUAAAUCCAUGUUAAUUUGUCUGGAUUGAACAUUGUUUGGUGAAGAGGGCCUUGGUAUCGAUGAUCCAAAUGUCAUAUAUCAAAGAACAACCAUGUGAUAUGAUUUCAACUAUAUGAUACUUAUAACAAUACGAAUAAAGAAGACUACAGUUGUGGAGCACCAAGCAGUAAUACAUUCUAUAAUUUUCGUUAAUAAUGUAACAAUAUAACAUGUCAGACUAUCUCAUGGAAAAAUAAAACAUUAGACUAUUGAUUUGUGUUAUCACAUCAACAUGUAUAAUGUAGUACCACCGUUUCACUGCAGAUUACAAGACCAGAAUAUAAAUCACAAUUAGUUCUAGGUCAAUAUUGGAAAGGCAAUAAAUGGAAUAAAUUAAAUGGCAUAAAACCUGUUUUAUAUCUUUUAUAAGGGGUAACUUGUCUAGAAAAUCAAAACACAACUAUUUUGAUUUUAGGGCGUCGAGUAAUUAAGAUAGAGUGUUUAGGCAACAUGUAAAUUCAGCCUGGACAGGGAUCAAAUUCUGCAGAAAGCUGAUCCUCUAGGGCUGAAAUUAGUGUCGGGUGAAAUUAGCUUUACAAGCUGCAUGUGAUGGUGUCUAGUCUGCUUGUGUAAGAAAUUACUGACAUCGUUGACAGACCUCUUGCAAUUGCAAUCUCUACAGAUGUAGUGGGGUCCUAGACGCCAACUUAGCCCAGUGGGCUUGGUUUCGGGUUCAGUCUCUUAUAUUGUCUCCUUGUCUGUAUCCCCAACAAAUCCAGUUUUUUGAGGAUGCAGAUGCAGCCCCCUACCCCCCUCCUUCUCCUCCUCUUUCAAUGGACAUAAUUGACAGAGGAAAGACGAUCAUCUUCUUAACACACGCUGGUCCUCCUAGCUCGUGCCUCAUUUCAUUAGUCAUUCCUGCAUUUAAUUUAGUUCUGGCUUUUCAUACAAACUUGCGAUUUCGGGAACAUGGUGAAGCUCGCAUCGUGACAUAGUAAUUAAAUAGAUAAAUCAAACGAUAACUCAGAGUCAGAAUUCAUUAGCAAUCCAAAUUCAUUAAAAUUUUGAAAAUAUCUCAAAAUUUAUUGAUCUAAUGAUAAUUAAUAAGAUAAUAACCUUAGCAACAACAAUACUCUUUUAUAAGAAUUAUGCUUCGCUGCUGAAAGAAAAGCAACAUUGAAGAAGUAUUCUUCCCACUUUACUCACAGCAUGGUCAUAAAUAUCAUUUGAAAAAUAGACAAUUAGAUUUAAAACCAAUUCCUUAAGCAAGUUUUAGGUAACUCCUCCUCCAAAAAAAUCACUUUUGAUGUAAAUCCUUUGACUAUUAUACAACCUAGGACAACCUUCCUUUUGUGUAAGAUGCAAACAAAUAUUUUUAUUUUUCAGUUCCAGCCUGCCCCUAAGUUUAAAAAUGGAUUCAAACAUGAUUUGGGCAACACCUAUAUAUUAAUUAUUAUGAUUUCAAACGGCAAAACUUAUAUUUGAUUGGCACUUUUUGUUAAUUGUCACUUUCAUGCUAAGUUCUUAUUCAUCUUCUUCAACUCUUUUUUCUUUUUCUUUUUGCCCGUGUUAUUCUACCUUAUAUGGAGGCAUAGUUUGUAUUGAAAUUUGUCAUGGUGAAUUGGUGAUAACCUUAACUAUAGGUAAUAUAUAUUCCUUUUGCUUCUACAUGUCUUGAAAUUUGCAUUAGGUAUAUAAUUGUUUUGGUAUCUUUAUUGAAUGUAGAUAGUGAUAUUUUUCAUACGUAGAAUUAUUUCGUAUCUCUUUUAUGUAAAUGAAGAUGUUUUAUUUUCAUAUACAUAUAAUUGUAUUAUAUAUGAUUUAAAAAAUUAUUUUAAUAUCAUUAUAUCAUAGGUAAAUAAUUGCAUAAUAUCAAUGUUUUCAAAAUAAUCAUACAAUAAGAAAUGAAUGCACAAAUUAGGUUUAAAUUGUAACCCCAUAAAUGUUGGGUUAAACAAAAAAAUUACUGUAUUGAUUGGACCUCAAUCAAAAGACUCUUUGAUCGUAAAAUUGGGUUUAUCAUACAUCACUUAUCAUAUGAAUCCAAUUGUAAAGGAUGAAAUUCGUUUGAAAUAUGGUUUUAAUUAAAUAUAUAAUCUCAUUAUAUAACUAAUGAGAAGUGAUUUUCACACACUCUUUUUAAUUUCUCACACACUUUUCUUUAUUUAUGAUCAUUAAAUUAGAUAAAUUAAACGAAAAUUGAGAACAAAUUGAACAAAUGUGUGCAAGAAGCUAAAAAUAGGGUAUGAAAAUCACUUUCCAUAAUUAAUAAGAGAAAUACAAGACGAAGCUCAUGUAAUCUUAGAAAUUUCUAAUAUAAUUCCCUACCAAAUACAUUAUGUUAAUUUUAUUUUAUAAACAUUCUGUUACAAGCCUUACGACAGGUAUAUGAAGGAGCCAGCUAGAAGAGGACAAGUAGACCAAUGCGAGGAAAUAUAGGUGCAGAUAUGAGACAAUGGGCAGUUGUGUGUGAGGCAUUUAAUAAUUAGAUUGGUGAUGACUGAUGGCAUGCAGUGCAAUUGUAACCCCUUCCUUCCACCCUUCCUUCCUUAGAAGUACCCCCUUCUCCACGCUAUUUUCACAACUCCUUCAUUUUGAUAAUGGUCUACGUCAAACCUUUGCUCUAAAGCAACCCUUUGCCAUGACAAAAAGAAUUUUCAACUUCCUUUCUUGGUUAGUCCAACCCCAUCUUCUACAUUGGUCCCCUUCUCUCUUUCAGUCUUUAUUCCCACUAAAGUUUAAGUGUUGGACAAAAACUUAAAAGGAAAUUCGAUCACAUUAUUCUUACGAUACUUCUCACAGAAGUAUGUAACUCUAUGUAUUUUGGUUUCACCUGAUCUAACGUAGUCUAAUUGAAUAAUAUGAGUGUGAAAGCUACCCUAGUAGUGCAGCUACCGAAGUUUCUAAUAUAUAGAAAUAGGAAUAUUUUGCAAAUUAACUACACUUUUGUGAAUCCAUCAUUACUUUGUCCACAUACACUUUCUAAGACACAAAGUCUCAAUACCAUAAUGUGGUCUAAACUUUCAUUUUAUGGAUCAUUGACAAUUUUUUAUAUUGCAUCAAGAAUUUAUGUGAAUUUAGAAUAUAUAUGAGUAAAAGAGUGCGUAUUCAUCACACACAUUUUAAAGUAUCAGCAUUGUUUAAUGGGAUCGUAGAAUAAUACCAUUAAACAGUGUAUAUGUUGAUUGGCUGAGGAAUGAGGAUACAUAUUUACUUUCUAACCAUUUUGAUUGAAAAUCUAAUUACAAAUGAAUUCCUUAAUAAUUAUGCACACACACUAUUGUCCUAGAUUAGCGCACGUAAUUGUCUCAAACGAUCAUAUGGUUUAGGUGGCUUGCUAAUCCACAAAACUGUCUAAUGAACCACAAGAUACCUGCAAGCUUGACCAAAUGAUGGUGCUCUGGGGCUUUGAGUCCCACAUCGAUGGGAUGUUAAUUAGAUGGAAAGUCCACUUAAUUUCCACCGGAGUUUUUGUAUUUUUUGGCCAAGUGGGUCACCACCACUAAUGCAUGCUUCGAUCUUAUAGAAAUAUAUAUACAUCACACAUCAAAAUCAUAUGUAAAUGUUCGAUGCGGAGCUAAAGCUAGACACUGGGUUGUUCCUCCAUGCAAAGGGUGGCGGAAGGUUCCCCACACUAAUGCAGUAGCACUCUCAUCAUACUUUGUCCUGCAAGCUGUCUUUACCAUCAUGCCCUUUCCAGUUUCAAGCCAGACCUCUUUAGGUUGAAAUACUCAAUCAUUCCCAUUAUUUAUAGAAGUCUCUUGGGGCACAAGCAACCGACGAUGGCGACCUCCAAUGUGCUUUACCGUUCAAUUUAGAAUGGAUGGAUGUGGGGACUGAAUAUUUUUUUUUUCCAACGAAUAGUUCUUGGCUAAGAUAGUGAUGGAUUUCAAAGGAAUAUUUACCUAUUUCUUUAUUUAUUUUUAUUAUGUUGGAGAUAUUCGAAUACUGAUUUUAAGUUAUUCGUAUUUAUCGUCUUACACAUCCUCAUCAUAUACAAAUUGCAGUGGCUUGUCAUUCUUUAAUCCAUUUUUUUUUAUUCCACAUCAAAACUCCAAGAGCAUAUUUUACUUUGUUUUGACACAAUAAAUAGACAUGAGAUGAUCAUCUUAGGGUGAUUCUUUUUGGAUGGAUGCUCCUUUUGCACUUGUAGGCUCUGAAGGAUAAGAACUAACUAACUAUGUAGCAUUUACAUUGAGAAUUCAUUUCUCAUGUAAUAUUUGUACUUGGGAUUAGUUACUGAUGCUGGAAAAAAACAAAAGACAUUACCACUAAGUUUAAGUCCUUAAUAAGUGGGUACUACUCUAACACUACAUAAGCAAAGAUACGGCAGCAAUUACAAGCAUAAUAUGCACCUAAGAUUCUACUAGUUAAGGCCAACAUUUAAAUUCCAAUUAACAAACUAUCCAUUGCAGAUUUUACUCUUAAAGAAAUAGUAAGCCAAUAUACAUCAAAAUUUAAUCACAAAACUGGAAAAUUGUUUAUUGAUAUUCAGCCUUUCUCAAAAGCAAAUUGAAAUGAAACUUGAUGAAACUUGUAAUGUUUGCAGUAAAAAUUAUUUCAUAGCUUAAGCUUAUUAUAAUUGAAGAAAUUGAGGUUCCAUAAAAUUAAAGGAAAACUAACGAAAAGUCCAAAAAAAACUUUAGUUUUAAUAAAUAAAAAAAUGACAAAUAAAGGUGUAGUGAAUAGUACCAGUGAAAUGUAAAAAUUUGGUUUUUCAUUAAAAGUGAACAGUACCAAAAUGUUUCGUUAAAACUUCCUAAAAUUAAUUAAAAACAUAUAGAAAAUAGCCAAUUAUUUAUAAAUAAAUGCAAUGUUCAUUCUUUUCUUAACGUAAAAUUUAUACUCUCAACAACGAUACAAAAUAAGAUAUACUACAGUCUACAUGUCUCAACAAUUUCCACUCAAACUUGCUUUGAAAAUUUAAAUAGUAUUCACUUUUAGAGUUUAUGGUUUAAACAAGAAAUUUUGAGUCACUUGCUAUUAGUGUUCUUAAAAAGGGUCUAGGCGUUGGGCGGAGGGAGGCCAAGGCGUCUUCUUGCAAAACGGUGGGAAAAAGCAAAUGGGCUCUAGGCGGCCCUAGGCGAAGCUAGGCCCUUUUUUUUUUUUAUGAAAUUGAAAUUGAAAAAAAAAAAUUCCUAUCUUUAUUCUAACUUUCUAAGUUCGCGUUCCCUGCAUGCACCUAUGUUUAUAUCUUGAAAUUUUGUUAAUUUUAUAGAAUAGGUGUGUAUCAACUUAAAUUCCGGGAUGUUAAAGACAAUUACUAUAUUUCCUUAUUUUCCUCCUAUUUUGCAUUUUAUGUGGUUUUAAAUUGUGAACUUGUUGUACAUGUGUCAUCCUACAAUACUCCUCACUAUGAUUAUAUGACAUAUAUGCUUAAUAUGUUUUUUAAAUUUUGGAUUUGUUGGAUACUCUUUUUUGCAUUUUAUCGUUCUUUUAUUAUCUUAUCAUUAGAUUUCAUACAAAUAUAUUUUUUUUGUAAGUGUCAAUAUACACUUAUUUACAAGAAAUUUACUUAAAUCCGUCUAGACACUAAACGCUAACCCGCCGUCCGACUAACGUUUAGCGAAUUUUAGAACCUUGCUUGCUAUAAAAUAGAAGGGGUGUGAUAUCCACACACCCCUUUUUAUUUCUCCCACACAUUUUUUGUUUUCGGCCGUUUGGAUCGAAUGAAUUGAAGAAGAUUAACAUACAGAAAUUCAUAAAAGAUGUGUAAGAAGUAAAAAAAGAUAUGUGAUAGUACAUCCCAAAUAGAAAAUCGGGGUUUCCUUUUUUGUUGUGCGACAGAGAUCUCUCUGUGGCAGACCAAAGAUUUUCUUUUAGUCCGAAACCACAAUACCCACCUUCACGCCCUCCCUACUGACAAAGAGUCUCAAGUUGAUUGAAAGAUAAACUUUAAAAGAGUAUAAGUAAGUUGUACUGUUUUUUAUAUUGCUAUUUGGCUUUUUAUGGAAUCUUAAUUUUUUUUUUUAUGAUAUCAGAGUAGGUUAAUUCAUGUGUAAAGUCCAACGGUUACACAUUCUUCAUGUCACUCAAUUCAUGCCACAUGGUUGCUUUAAAAAUUUGCCACACAUGAGGAGCGUGUGAGAAUAUGAAGAUAAAAAAGUUUAACAUCAAUAAAAGAAGAAAACAUCAAUGAAAGGAGAAAUCUAAUAGACCACCAAUACGAGACUCGUUUACUUUAACACUCAUAACAUUCUGUAUUUGUAGAAUAAUCCCUCCCAAUCCCAUAUGGAUCUUUGCUUUCAGUCUUAAUGCAUUGAUUAUUAUAUGUUAAUUCAUCAUGCGAUUGCAAGCCCUAAUACAUCAUUGUUUAUGAAAUAAUUAAUUAAUAAAUGUAGUGCUAAUCAACUGUGCUAGUGGUGGUCCUUGCAGAGUAAGAUUCAUUGAUGGAAUUGGACUCACUGUCCUAUAGAAAGUGGACGGUGUUGUUUCAAAUGGAAUCAAACCAUGCCGGCUUUCUCUCCCUUCCUUUAGGCUCCAAUCUAUAAUUCAUUUGACAUUGUUGUAAAUCUGUGAAGAGACUUAUCUACAUCUAAUACUCCAUAUGGCGUCACAAAUUCAGCGGCCCAAUAGUGCGAUUAGAUGGUGUCGUGUGAUUCGUACAAAAUAUCACAUAUCGCAAUAGUAUAUGUAGACAAGUAACUUAUAUCUUCGACGAGGUAUUUAAGCUCAUCGCACUUAAGCAAUGAUGAACAAUACCAUCAUAUUAUUUUGUCAUUAGAUGUGUUUAAAUUUUAAAAUAUAUAUUGUACGAAUAUUAAAUCAUACACUCGCUUACAAUCAACACAAUGGUCUCUAACAGCUAUGCCUGCAUUUGCAGACGACACAUUCUCUUCCAAUACUUAUGCAUUGAUAUGAAUUAUUAGUAUUUUUUUACAAAAAUUAAAGCAAGUAAGGAGAGCUUGUAGCUGUAGGAGGCAGGCUUUAACCUGCCAAGUGCAAUGAUAAAUCAUAAAGCAAAAUUACCAAAAAAAAAAAAUCAUAAAGCUAUUUGGAAGUCUGUCUCAAGUGAUUCAUCCUUCAUCAAAAACAUUUGCAGUCAACCACCACAUGCAACAAGACCUACCCAUAUGACUCUUGUUCGUCAACUUUUCUACACAUUUAGCUAAAACCUUCCUCUGUGCUUGCAUUACAUCCAGCUUUCUGUUCAAGUACUGUCUUCUUGCUUUUCAUCUUUUCCUUCAAGACCUUGAAUUAAGUACAAGUCAUCACUUUGACAUCAUUUUCACACAACUUCAACAUUUAUUGAUCACACUACUAAUUGCCUAUUUAGUAAGAGUUUCGUAUACAUAGAUAGAAUUCAACUUUGUUUAUUACAUCAAUCGUCAACAACGUGAUUAGUAAAUAUGGUAUAGAUAAUUGAUUAGAUAUUGACCACAUAACCGGUAUGAGUUAUGCAUACAUGCAUACACAAGUUGAACACAUCAUCUCUGUUAUUUAGAUAUGUCUUCAACAAUGUGUUCAGUAAAUAUAGUGACUAAUCACAUACUGACCAUUUUUCUAUGACAAGAGUCCCACGUACAAUUGGAAUGCACUUGUCUAAAUCCCACGUACAAUUGGAAUGCCCUUGUGUUAUUAGGUUAAUCUUCAACAACGUGGCCAACAAAUAUGAUAUAGAUAGCGUUAAUUUUGGAGUAUGAGAGCAAACAAUAAAGGCAUAAAAUACCAAAAACAAAAGCACAAAUAUUUAGCUCAAUAGCUUUCGAUGAAUUUCAAGUUCAAAAUACCACCACCUACCCAACUAAUGGAAUUGAACAAAAGGCUAUAUAUGGUUAUAGACCCAAAUAUUACCCUUUCAUUUGACACUUAGAGAUCCAUAUGGUAUUAAUCAUACAUACCUUAACCACCAAGUAUAAUUAACCAAUUUAGUAAAUAAUUAUAAGAACUGAAAAUUAAUGGGUGACACUUAAAGAUCCAUAUGGUAUUAAUCUCCCUUUGGUAUGCAAAAGUCAAUAUAUGAUUAAUUUGCAUGCUUUGUAGGGAUACGCAUGCCUUAAAAGUCUCUCUCAAUUAGGAGAGCCAUAUGAUCCGGGCAGAUCAGGCCACUGCUUUGGGUUCAGAGAUGGGCCGCCGCCGCUGCUGCUGGUAGUGGUGGUGGUGGUGGUGGUGGUGGUGGUGGUGGUCCGGGCGCUACGCCAGAAUUACGGAUUGUUUUAUGGCCCAUGGGUCCACGAAACAGAGAGCGUUGAGCUCCAAACUCUGCAAUGAGAUGUCAUUGUAUAUGAAAAGGAGAUGAUUUGGACGUGAACGAUGGAGAGGUUGGAGUGGAGUGCGAUGGUUAUGACAGCUCUGGCGGAGGGUCUAAUCUAUAUCAUAGGCUCAGGAAGAGGGGUACAUAUGGAGCGCAUCUCUGUGGAGUGCCAAACAGACUGAGUUGCUUCCUGAGCGCCCGCACUCAUAAACAGAAGAACUGGUCUUAAAGGCUGGGAGAGAGCGCGUCCGGCAACGCCAGCUCUAUUAGAGAGGAGAGACUGAGUUGGAUAUCUCCGAGCAAGGCAAUCGGUUCGAAAGGUGCAGAGAUCAAUGACCGCCACCAGGACAUGCGCUUGUGAGUGAGACAUGAAAAAUCAAUCUAAUGGAUUUAAGUAAAGCUCUCGCUGUGUAAAUUAGAAAUUAACUCAAAGGUCAUAAUUAUUCAAGACCAACAAUAGGAAUAUUUCGGUAUUUCACACCUUCGUAGGCAUAAACCAUAGAUACAUUAUUUUUAAAGGUAUGGGUUUAUAGCAUGUAACGGUGUUUUUGUUUUUUUCAAUUUCUUUCACAUGUGUACAUUAGUUAUAAUGAAGUUCUUAUUUGAUGUUUGAACUUGCCAACUCCGAAAAAUAUUCGGCUCACGGAGGUCCUGGAGAUUUAAAAAUGCAAAACGACAAUUACCAUCAUCAAAGCAUAAAGGAGUGGAGCGAGAAGAGCAGUUUGCGCGAGUGAGGUCUCCAUACUGCUGAAUUUAGUUCCCAGUGCUGAGAGAUAGACUACAAAUUAGUUUAUUAAUGUUUGCUUUUGGUAUUUUGACGUAAGAAAAAUCCAUAAAGAUACGAAUAAAAAUGUGGUGAUAUGUAUUGUAACAAUAUAAAUCACAUUAAAAAGUUUAGUGAAUUAAACAAUAAGUCACACUGCGAAUUAGUGCUUUAUGGAAUUCAUAAAUAUGGUUCAAUCAGAGACGUUAUAAGAUAGACCAAUUUAAACACAUGAUAAUAUCAAUUUAUAAAGAUUAGCAGAUCGAGAUUAGAGACGGUAAGCCAUUACCGAAAGUAACAAACGAAGCCAGAGCUACUCCAUCUCCUUCAUUGUACAUCGUUAUAGUUGGCGCGAGCCUCCCCCACCAUUCAAAUUCAACCGUCGCCGCUCCCACGCGGACCAUCACCUCCAUUACUGGUCAACUCGCCCACCUGAUUCUAUCCACCCUGCAAUCUCCAUUUUUUAGACCACUGGCAGGUCAAUCUCGGCCACGCUCGUUUGUUUCCUGUGUCUCUGUGAGAGUUGGGUGCAUUUGAAUUCAAAUAAGUUAGUGGAUUCAGUACUUGAUGCGUUGCGAGAUUGGUCUGCGAGUUGGCUUCGUGUGAGUUGUGCCAUCUGCUCUGAUUAGAAAUAGUUUUUGUGGAUUCACAUGUGUUCGGGUUCUGUGGGAUUCAAUACACCGGCACGUUGCUUGUGUUCCGGUUCUGCGAUUGUGGCAUUUUGAUCACACCACUCAGGUUGGUGUAGUCGCUAUCAGACAUUUGCAGACACAGUGAUCUGAUUAUUCCGGUUCCAUGUGGAUUCAGAACUUCGUUUGCAGUUGUCUGAGUUUAGCUUGGGUUCUAUGAUUUGGUGUAUUGAGAUCAAAUAGACUUUGGAGGAAAAUUCAUAACUACUAGCAGACGAGAGGUGGUGCCUGUCUUGAGUUCGGUGAAUUACAGAUCUUCGCCGGGGCCGCCUGCAGUUCUGUUCCCUGUGCCCACAGGAUCGAGUCCUUGCGUUGCGACAAUUCCAUCAAAAAAUUUGAAAUUUGAACCUCAAUCAUUUUUUACAAUUUUCUAAAAAAAAAAAAAAAAAAAAAAAAAAAAAAAAACUUAAGAGAGAGAGAAAGAGAGAGAGACAGAGAGGGUCUGACAACGAAAUCCUGAUACAAAAUCCUCAAAACCCCAUACGAAGCUAAGUGUCUGCCUACCGACCCAACCGACACUCAAAAUUCAAAAUUUGAACUUCCUCUCCUCUUGUUCCUCCAACUGAACUGAAAUUCCUAAAAUUCAAACAAACCUCAGAAAAUAAAAAAUCUUCAUCUAAUAUGGUCCCAAUCCCAAAUGGCCGCCGCCAAUUCUUUUAAUUCCUCGAUUCCCUCCACUCCUUCUCCACUCUCAUCUGUACACACGCUCCUCCUCUUUAUCCCUACCAUUUCUUUCUCUUUAACUUGUAAUUUCAUGUUUGUAAAUCUUUUAAAAAUGUUUUCAACUUGGAACUUGGCUGUUCUUCAUAACCAAAUCUACUGACUUGAGAUCGAUCGUCCUCUGUCGAACCUUGGCAGUGAUCGCAAUCCCAAAAAGUUUCGAAGCUGAAAGCCCUAAUUGUUCGAUUUCGGUGUUUCUCAACCCUAAAAAGUUUGAAUCCUAAGCUCUGGAAGUUGAACUACGGUGAUGCGACGGUGGAGUACGAUCAGAGUUCAGAAGGGAGAGUCUGCGAGCUUUAAUUGUGAACUUUGGGUUCCCUCUCUCUCCGGAGUGCGAUCAAACACUUCCUUUCUUUUUCUUUGGAGGGUAUUUUGGUGUUUCCAUGGAUUUUAUAAUGACUUAAAGCUUUUGUGGCAUUCAUCAUUGAUCUAAGCCAAGUUAAUAAAAAUAUAUCAUUGAUUAAGUCCAAAAUAAAAAUAUGUCAUUGAUAUAUGGCUUAAUAGUAAAGUUUUUAUUGACCUUUGGCUAAAUUACCUUUAAAAAAAA
rnacentral:lncRNA from 1 species